rnacentral:lncRNA from 1 species
CCUUGUUUACCUGGUUGAUCACGAGUUGGGAGUCUCCGCGAACAACCAAUUGCUUGAUGUCGAGAGCGAUCGCCGUGCGUAACCCGGCAAGUAGUCCCUCGUACUCUGCCGUGUUGUUGGUGGAGUUGGCGAAGUCAAGCUGUAUCACGAACUUGAGCUGGUCUCCAGUGGGCGACUCGAUCACCACUCCGGCACCGGCGCCCUGCAAGCAGAAGGCGCCGUCGAAGUACAUGACCCAGUACCCUUCGUCCAAUGUGCCGGGAAGGCUCGCUUCCAGCUCUUCUCCCUCUAUGCCUGUUGACGUCCACUCCGCGAUGAGGUCAGCGAGAGCAGUGCUCUUGAUGCUCUUGGUGUUGGCAAAACACAGCCCGAACUCCACCAGCUCCAUCCUCCACUCGGCCACCCUCCCGGUGGUUUCACGGUUGGUGAGGGCUCUCUCUAGGCAGAACCCCGACACCACCGUGAUGCUGUGCGCCUGAAAGUAGUGGCGCAGCUUCCUUGAAGCGAGCAGGAUCCCAAGUAGAAGCUUCUGGACCUGCGGGUACCUUACCCGGGCAUCAUGCAACACCGUGCUAACGAAGUACACGAGAUGCUACACUAGCCGCUAGCGUGGGCUGUCCCUCGGAUCCAGGGGCAGAGGAGGUAGCCGGGGGUUCCAUCGGCUCGCCGAGAGCCCCCGGCCCUUUCGUCCCAGCCCCCGGGACUUGCUCUUCCCUCUCGGCAACGAGCAUGGAGCUCACUACCUGGUCCGUCGCUGCUAGGUACAGCAGCAACGGCUCGCCCGGUUUGGGGGCAACGAGGACCGGCGGCGACUUCAGGUACCUCUUCAAGUCCUGGAACGCCGCUUCCGCCUCGGGAGUCCAAUUGAUUGGACCCUUCUUUUUCAUCACCUUGAAGAAAGGCAGGGCUCGCUUGCCCAGCCUUGAGAUGAAACGUCCGAGCGCCGCAACGCACCCGUGAGGUGCUGGACGUCUCUAACCUUGCGGGGUGCCUCCAUCUUUUCUAUCGCUUCGAUCUUCUGCGGAUUGGCUUCGAUUCCCCUGUGAGAGACCGAGAAGCCCAGCAAGUGUCCCGAGUCCACACCGAACGUGCACUUCUCGGGGUUAAGCUUGAGCUUGAUCCUGCGGAGACAUCUCCUGCAGGUCGCCGACGAGCGAGUCCCUAUGCCGCGACUUGACGAUGAUAUCGUCCAUGUAAGCCUCGAUGUUCCGGCCUAGCUGGGGCCCCAGACACUCGCACAGGGCGCGCUGAAAUGUCGAGCCCGCGUUCUUCAACCCAAAACGCAUGCACGUGUAACAGUAGCAGCCAACCGGGGUGAUAAACGUUGUUUUCUCCUCGUCUGAUGGUAGCCGGAGAAGGCAUCCAGAAAGCACAAAGACUCACAACCCGCUGUAGAAUCUACUAUUUGGUCGAUACGGGGUAUAGGGAAGGGGUCCUUUGGACAUGCACGGUUAAGAUCAGUAAAAUCUACACACAUGCGCAAUUUAUUUCUAGCUUUAGGGACUACAACAGGGUUUGCUAACCAAGUGGGGUACAACACUUCCCUGAUCGCCCCGGCGUUCUUGAGCUUCUCCACUUCCUGCUGGAUGAAGUUCUUGCGUUCUUGUGCUUACCGGACGGGCCGUGCGUCUGGCCGCACCGCCAGCCGAUGCUCGAUCACCUCCCUAGGGACUCCGGGAAGAUCUGACGGCUCCCAAGCGAAAACGUCAGAGUUCUCCCGGAGGAAGGCGACGGGGGCGCUUUCCUAUUUGUCGUCGAGGCUCGCACCGAUGGAGACGGUGCGUGCCUCGUUGCCGGCAUGUAGGGGCACCUUCUUGACCUUGGUGCCCUCCUCCUUCAGCUUCGUGCCCUUGCUUACGCAUGGGCUGGAGUAGGAGCUGCCCCCGGCAUCCUGCCCGGGAGCGGCUCGCGUCUUCUUCUGUGCAGGUUGUUCACCCGCAAGUGGAUCCUCGUUCCCGGCAACAUCAUAGUCGCCGGGAUCUGCGGAGGUCUUCACGACCUCGCCCACACACCAAGCAGCGUCCUUCAGGUCGCCCUUGAUGGAAAGAACGCCGUACGUUGACGGCAUCUUCAUCACGCCGUAGGCGCAAUGGGUUGCCGCCACGAACUUGAACAGCGCUGGCCGACCAUUGAUCACGUUGUAUGGCAACGGGGUGUGAGCCACAUCGAAAAUAAUGUCCUCAGUCCGGAACGCUUCCUGGGAACCGAAAUUCACCGGGAGCGUGAUUCGCCCCAUGGGCUGCACCACUCCGAGGUUGAUCCCCCGGAACGGGUCGGUGGGCUUCAUCUGCUCCAGGGGCAGCUGAAGUUUUUUCACCAGCUUGGCGGACAGCAGGUUGAGGCUUGCCCCGAUGUCCACCAGUACCUUGGUCACCGUCACGUUGUUUAUGAUCGGCCACACUACGAGUGGGAGCACCCCUGAACCCAAGGGACGGAUCGGGUGAUCGUCCGAGUUGAAGGUGAUCGGCACAUGCGACCACCUCAACGGCUGCUGCGCCUCCACGCUGGGGAGGAGGGCACAGACCUCACGCGUGAGCCACUUCACGGCGGCGUGAGACGUGAGAGCAUACGCUCCCCCGUGGAUGCAGGCGACGUCGCAAGGCUCCUGGAAGCCGAGCUCGUCGGCGUCGGCGUCGCUGUAGACAUCCUCGUGCUGCUUAGCGCGAGGCUUGUCGCGUCCCCGGGGAGGCCGGUCCUUUCAGCCGCGGGCCUGACCGCGACCCCCCGCGGGUUCUCCUUUGUUGCCGCCAGCUGCGCCACGGCUUGCCCCGCCGCGGGGGUUGUUCAAGCAGUCCCGGGAGAGGUGCCCGAUGUCCCCGCAGUUGAAGCAAGCCCCGGCAGCGCGGCGCUCCUCGUGGGGCUGCUUGCACUUCUCCUUGAUGGUCUGGAGAGUGCGGCAGUCCUGCGCGUCAUGGGUGGCGUUGGUGUGGAUGGGGCAGCACGUGGCCGCUACUGGCUUGCUACCUGAUGCCCCCGCCGACGCCGCCUUCUUGGUCGGCCUCUGGGAGCCCCCGGCUCCGCGGCAGGCACUUGCUUCCCGCCGCAUUCCGGGAGCUCUUCUUCCCGGAGCCCUCUGGUGGGUUUGCUGCUGCUUUGGAUGCAAGCUCGGGUGCUAAGCGCCCUUCCUCGCCAUCGCGCACUUGUGCGCGAGCGCGUAGAGAUUCCUUGUGGUCCGGAUCCGGUGCGUGUUGAGCUUCUCACGCAUCUUCGGGUCCCGGACGUUGAUGGCGUACAUGUUAAUGAUGGCAGCCGCUUCCGCCUCAGGGAUGGAGUAGGAGAGGUUGGAGAACCUGUUGGUGAAGUCCCGCAAUGUCUCCCCCGGUUUCUACACGACUGUGUGCAGUUCCGCCAUGGUUCCCGGGCGCUUGUAACCGCCCUGGAACGCGUUCACGAACUGCUUGCGCAGGUCAGCCCAGGAGGCUAUGGACCCAGCGGGCAGGUUGAGCAACCAAGUCCUCGCUGAUCCUUUAAGGAUCAUCGGGAACCAGUUGGCCCUGACCUUGUCGUCGGCGCCAAUGGCGUGCAUGCCCAACGUGUAGGCCAGGAGAAAAUCCUUGGGAUUCACAGUCUCGUCGUAUGUCCCGAGCGUCGGCGCUCGGAACUGGCGGGGCCACGACACCCGGCGCAGCUCGCGAGUGAACGCGGCGCAGACGUCCUCGGCGCCCAUGGGAGCAUCUUCCUGCUCCUCUGGGCGCGGGCGUUCUGCUUCACGCCGACGCCGGCGCUCCAAGUGUGGGCGGAGGUCUUCCUGCUGGCGGGCGUUCAGGACGCCUCGCGCAUCACCCCGUGUAACGGUCGGUGACGAAUCCGAGGACCCCAUGGGAUCCUCGCCUCCUUGCCCUCCCGCCGGGGGAGGGUGUUCUCCGUGUCCUGAGAUGCGGGGCGCGUCUCUGCGUCCCGUGUUCUGCCCCCGGCCUGAACCAGCCGGGGCGCCCUCGCCUUGCGGCUGCUGGGCGGUGAGUGCAAGGAGCGAGUCUAGCUCCGCACUCCAUGCUUCAUGCGUCGGCGUACCUUGCGGUGGCUCGUAGCGCACCAUGACACGCGCAGCUAUGAUGGCUUCCGCCGGGGUCUGGGCGGGAGGCUGCCAAUUCUCCGACCGGCUACCCUUCGCCCUGUCACCCCGUGCCCUCCGGUGAGUGGGGCGAGACUCCGUCGGCGUCGCACGCGACACGCGGUGCUCUUAGCGCAGCUGCCGCUGCGCGUCUUUAGCCUGCGAGGGGACUCACUGGCCGGCGCUUGCGGCAUUGUGGCCGCUCGCGCGGCUGGGUUCGGCGCUGGGAGCCGCAGGCCCCCUCGGCCGGUUGUCUGCCGACGGCCGAGGAGGGGGAGGUGGCAGCUGCGAUUGCUGCUGCUGCCGUGGAGGGGAUCCCUGGUCUCCUUGUGCUUGUGACGCGCGCGCAACGUCAUGGGACCGAGUGCGCAUGGUGAGAGUGUCGCGCAAGUCGACCCGGGGCUCGUCUGCCUUCUUGGGCGGCAUGGCGAGCUAAUCGUUGAAGAUGUCGUAGGCGGUCAACCGAAGCUUUCUGCACGCCCCCCUACCUGGCGCGCCAGAUGUCAGAGCACGGUCUCCGGCACCGGGGAUGCCGAGCACCCCCUUUUUGGUUCGGCGGAGGGCGAGGGGAUCGCUCCGGCGAUCGCCGGCAUGGCGAUAGACACGAGGUGUAGACACCAAAGUUUUACCCAGGUUCGGGCCACCCGGAGGUGUAAUACCCUGCGUCCUGCUUUAAUUUGUAUUCACAAAUUUGAGUGCGUACAGAUCACCCAGGGAGUUCCUGGGUUGGCUACUUAGGUGAAUGCUGUGCUAUGUUCUAAUUACUCGGGUUGGAACCGAGCUGAACCCUUUUACCGGUGUCAUUGGUCCUCCUUUUAUAGACAAAGAGAUACCAUAGGUGCCUAUGCAUGCAGCGUGCCACGUUUUCCAGAUGCCCAGACGUGUCACGGCCGCACGAGACACACUUUGGUUGAUCCGCGCUGGACGUCUUAGCUUUAACUUCACCAAAGGCCGUCUCCUCGAGGCGGGCUUCCCGAACUCGUCGCUUCCUGGGAGGUCUUCCUGAAGGGGCUUCGUCACUGGCGACCCAUGCGUCCCGUAUCAGCGGGAUCCCAUGGGCCACUGGUACGACAAAAACCUUUCCAACAAUAUAAAUUUUUUAACAUAUAACCUACAUAUAUUUGUGUGAUCGUUGGUCAAAGUUCGAUCUCGAAAAGCGUGGGCGCCAUUCUUUGUGAAAUGGAGGGAGUAUUUUGCAUUUGGAAUCCAUCGUGACUUGGGCCUAGAGUGUUUGUUGCAUAUAUUUACGCGCAUGCACAACUGCCGUUGCUUGUUCCACAGAACCUUCAUUAGGCCCAUGUCUUGACAUGCUUAAUUGGGGUUGACUUGGCUUGAUUAAAAUUGUUGACUCUUUUCAGCAUGCAAACUACCGAUAUGUCCUCGAGUUUGACUUCUUCGUGCUAAUUUUUUUUUCGAACUCUUCAUGCUAAAUUAAUGGAUAAUUAUACUUAAAAGAUUUUUUUGAGUAAAGUACGGUUCUACCACGCGUCUUUGCCGGCCAAGUUUCAUAUGCCCUUCGGCGGCCUUCCCGUCCAUCCCGUCUUCCGUUGAUGAUGUUGCCGCAUCCCACCUGGAGCCCUGACGUGGGGGCGGCAGGCUGCAUCCGGUAGUUUUUUAUUACCUCGUAACCACAUAAAUUAAUUACGUGUUCUUUGAGACGUCGGAUCAGCUCCAUGUUUUAAAUGUUUUACAUUGGAAUCUAUGGUGACUUAUGCCUAAAUUGUUAUUGCAUAACAUUCGGUAGAUCCUUCUUUUGCCAUUUAUGCGCAUGCACACCACGGAUAUGUCCUGGAGUUUGACUUCUUCUUCGUGCCAAAUUAUGGGAUAAUUAUACUUAAAAGAUCAAACUGUAGUUUUAGCAGUAAUUUUAAAUGAAGUUCUCCACAGGGAUUAAUGCAAUGAUUCGUUUCCAAACCUCAAGUUAAAUUCACAGAUUAACAAGUUUUGGACUGAAAAGUAACAAAGAAACCACUAGAUGUAAUGUUUUUGGGAUUUUCAGUUAACUAUAGCAAAUCCGGCAUAGAAAUCUGAACUAACUAAAGAAACAGACAGAUUAACUGAAGAAAAACGACACUAGCAGAGAUGAUUUAGCAGUGACAAAGAUAGGGUUUAGACAAGCAUGUUGUUUUGGAAAAGGAGACAAAUAAGAGAGGAUUUAGAGUAGAUUGACAGCAAUGGGUUUGAGACAAGGGAAGGGUUUCAGAUCAGGAAGAAAUAGCACAGCAAGUCACAACUAGAUCAAACAACAACAGCUAACUAAAGUACAAGAACAUAACAUGACAGGAAAACCGAUCACAGAUCAAACACAGCAAAAUAAAGAUUCUUCUCACGACAGAAUUGAAUUGUAGACAAGGUUAAGCAUGUGAAUUCAGCGGCAAGUUACAAAAUCUCAACAAUAACAAGCAAGAACAGACGAUGAACUAGAAGAGAAAGUGGGUCAGGGCAGAGUUUACUGGAGAAUUUUUGCUUCAAUUGAGGUGCUAAGGACAAGGAAAGACCGCUCUGCCUAACUAUACUAUGAACUCGCAAAUGAAGCUUAUUAAUCUCCAUGAACAUCCCUGGAUCUCGCCAUCUUCUUCUCCCUUCUUCCUCCUUCCCCCAGUUUCUGGAUCUCAACUACUCCCUCCUCCUUGCUUGUGUGUGUGACGCAGAGAAGCUUCUGUCUUUUUAUGCUCUCCUUCUCUUCUCUUCCUAAGCUCCCAACGUCAUAUUUUGAAUUAUGCACCCAGCCCCUUACUUUAGCAAACUUGACACCGAAGAAGAUUCCUUUUUUGGCCAGCUUUUAGCUUGAUCAUCCCUUCUCCUUUUUCCUUUGUUUGCUUUUGCUUUUCUACUCCAUGCUUCUCUGCACCUUUUCUUCAUGAUGUAGUAGGAAAUAGUAUUUUGGUGAUUUUUCGCACAUUUUCUGCAAAAAGAACACGCAGUGUUGUAAAAUGACAAGUUUGGCCUUUUUGAUAGAAUUAAUUCUAAUUCAAGUGAUUCAAAUUCAAGUAGAUCAGCACCAAAUAUUUUUGAAAUUUAUUUAAGAAUAGGAACUGAUCAAAGAAUUUUUUAGUACAGGAUGGUUCACAUAUGUUUCUUCAUUCUCUCUCGAUUAUAAUGUAUGGUUUUGGCCAUGCAGUCUUUUGCCGACCAAGUUUCAUAUGCCUUCCCCGUUCAUCCCGUCUUCAUAAGAACCGUGUGAUCGAUUACCCGUGGUGUUGGAGCAAUCACUGCACCGGCAACGGAACAAGUGGUCCUCCUCGCCGUUCCUAACGGUGUUGCACAGGUAGUAGAAAGCAAACGUGCAGUGAUGAUGUUCAGGGGACUGAUGAUGUUGCCGCUGCUCCACCUAGAGAGCCCAUGACGUGGGGGCGGCAGGCUGCAUCCGGCAGUUUUUAAUUACCUCGUAACCACGUAACCAAAAUGUGGAAGGAAGUGGCUGCACACACCUGUCCACUCGUCGUGUACAUUCCUGCCGUCCGCUCAUCCUGCCUUUUUUCUUUUCUUUGCGUUGCCCUUCUUCGAGAAAAGAAAAGCCGGUCGCUUCUUUACAGCCCCACUAAAUCCUGUGCUUCCCUGGCCCUGCUGCACAACAAGUUGCACCAGAUCUCACAACAGACCACGUGUCGGUCGGCCUGGACGUCGCGAUUCGCGAACGAACCCGCAAACGCCACCAAAUGUCACGUCGGCCUCUUAUCUCGCGCGCCGGCGCGGCCGACCCACACCAACCCACCACUCGCCGGCCCGGGCUAGCUCCGACCCAUCCCGUCGUCACCGCGUCCGCGGACUUCCUAGCUUUUAAUAAACGCCGCCACAUGCUACGCCGCGAACUCAUUGCAUUCCGCUCUCGUCUCGCCCCCAUGUCGCCGCCGCCGCCGCGCCGCAUCCUGGUCCUCUUCGCAGCCCUCGUGUGCGCCGCCGUCUCUGCCCAUGGCCGACUCCUCAGCCCAGACGGGCUCCCGGGGAGCGCCUCCUCCGACGCAGCGCUCCGCCUCCCAUCGGAGCAGCAGCAGCAGCAGCCGGCGCCGCUGCGGGCGGCCGGGGAGGAGGGGUGCGAGAUGACGUACGGGUUCCUCCCGUGCACGACCACGGCGGGGGGGAACCUCUUCCUCGCCCUGGCCUACGGCUUCCUCAUGUUCAAGGCCGCCACCUACCUCUCCGCCGGCAGCGAGCUGCUGCUCGAGAUCCUCGGCCCCGGGAUCGUCGGCGGCCUCUUCCUCCCCAUCCUCGGCGCGCUCCCCGACGCCCUGCUGAUCCUCGGUCGGUCCCUUUUCCUUUCCCUCCCUUCUUUUCCCCCUGUUGAUCGUCAUGACUGAUAAUCACUCCUCUUAGUUUUCCGAUCGUCGUUUUGCCUUUGGUACUUGUACUUAGUAAUGCAUUUGUUUAUGUACGAUUUCUCGCGAUAUUUUGCAGUUGAAUGGUUAAACUUCUUAUCAUUUUAAACAGAGCAGCUAAGCUCUCUAUACUUCACGGACCGAGGAUAGGUUGAUUAUCUGAUGAUAUAAUAUUGUUCACCUUUGGACGGAUUCGCGUGAAAAAUGUUUACUGUCCUGCUUGAAUUUAUUAAUUAUGAUGGUGACGUUACAUAUCGAAUUAAGUUUUAUUCGUCCUACAUAUAAGCUUUUGUUAGUGCUCGAUGAUGCCUGUUUUUGUUGGAGAAAUCGUGUGAAGCUGCAACAGUUAGAUGGAUAGUUUUUUUUUCGAGGACAGUUAGAUGAAUAGUAUAGUAGACUGGACUCGUAUAGGUACAUAGUACAAAGUGAUGAUCCCCCUUUUUAUGAAGGAAUGGUUGCACUCUUGCGCGCAUAUGCUUAUGACAUGAUGGUCAAUUGAUAUUCCCUUGAGGUUUCAGUGUCAUAACUGCCUAAAUCUACCAAGGCAAUACCAUUACUACGUAAUAACUAAUUUUUGUGUUUCGUGUUUUCUACCUGAUUUCAUAUUUCACAGUGCCUUUAAUUGUCGUAUGGAUUUAUAUACUUGUAUUUACGUGCAAAAUGCAUGACGUUUCUGCUUUUUUGCAUUUCAGUUUCUGGCAUCUCUGGUACUAAGGAGGUUGCUCAAAGUCAGGUUUUGAUUGGAAUGGGCUUGCUUGCGGGGUCGACAGUCAUGCUUUUAACCGUACUCUGGGGAUCUUGUGUUGUUGUUGGUAAAUGUGACCUGACAGAGGAUUCAACUCCAAUUGAUUCCCGUGAUACGAAACGCUUCAGUCUUUUUGGUAUGUUGGUAAUCACUAUUAUUUCUCAAAUUCCAAUCUGGGGUCUUACCAGUGGAAAUUGCAUUAAGUUUAGCUGACAUCUUCUUGACUUGCAAAACAAACUGUUGAUCUUACCUGCCUGCUAGUAGUUUCAUAUACUUAACUACAAUGUGAUGCUUCACAUCACUAAAGUAAGUUUAGAAGUGGCUCUUUAUAAAAAAAAAGAUAGUGGCUGCAGGUUUUCAGUUUGGAUUCAAGGGUUUUAGAUAAAGAAUAGGCUUCAAGAAACUCAAAGGCAUUUACCGAGUCACGCAGCCUACAAAAUUAUGCUUUUCACAACAGAAACAUGUUUCUACAUGCUAUGAGCAACCGAGCAUCAUGGCUGCUAGUUAUUAUCUUCUUUGGCAUAAUCUAAUUUACAUGGUUUCUACUGGUACAAAAAUGAUGCAUUAUAUCGUUCUAAUAUUUUACUCAAGAACAUCUCUAUUGUUGCAGGCUCUGGUGUUUCCACUGAUCUGCAGACCAGCUAUGCAGCAAGAAUCAUGGCGAUAUCUGUUCUUCCCUUCAUUGUUGUUCAGAUACCGAAAAUUCUGAGGCUCCAUUCUGGUCAACGUUUAACUAUCCUGCUUGGGUUUAUUGUUGCGGUGCUACUUCUGAUUACUUAUUGCCUAUAUCAGGUAUUGUACUGACUUCAGGGAAUUUCCUUAUUAUAAUAAACAUUUCCCUCUAGCUUAGAAUUGUAAAUUUUGUCUGAAAAGAUAUGAAUUAUUUGCAUCAAGACACUGUGAAUAAAAUAUUGAAGACCGUGAAUCUGAAUAACAAAUGAUACCUCUUUAUCAUCCAUAUGACCUUUUCUAGUCACUUCCAUUUUGGUAAACGAACUGAAAUCUGGUUACACAUGUUCAUUUACGAGCUGCUAAUUUUCCUAGGGACUGUUGCAAUUACUCGUAGUUGAUUACAAUCAUAUUUUGAUCUAAAUUGCUCCAUUAAACAAUACUCGCAUCUUUCACAAACAGAUCUUUCAGCCAUGGAUCCAGAGGAGAAAGUUAGAGUAUUCAAGACUAAAGCAUGUAAUGUCUGGACUUCUGAGGCACGCCCAGAAGCAUGCUUUUGGUCGCCUUUUUCAUGAUGAUGGAACACCAAAUGUUCCUGUGAUAGAGAAGUAUGCCACUGGCCCACAUUGUGCCGCUUACCUACACUUGAUAAAAGAAAUUCUUUUAAAUGAUGCCGUUAAAAUUUGCAGGUUAUUUCACAAAAUUGAUCUGGACAAUGAUGGAAGGAUAGAACGUGGUGAAAUACAAGCUUUCAUAGUUGGCGUUCAGUUUGAAGAUAUUGACUUGGAUAGUAACCUGGCUGCAGACCAAGUCAUGGCUGACUUUGAUAGAUCACAGAAUAGUUUCAUCGAAAAGGGGGAAUUUGUUGAUGGGGUCUUGAGAUGGCUGGAAGAAGCUAAGCGUGCUGUUGUUGCUUCUGGUGCCUACUCAAAAAAGUUUAUGGAAGAUUUUCAUGCCGUAAGUUUGUAAUUACAUGUUUGUGCAGAUAUUUUAUCCAUCAAGAUAAAUCACAUCAUCCUAGUAUAAUUUUGCAGACGGCAAGGGAUGAACAUGCUGCACUGCUUAACAAGGAUGAAGAGGAUGGUGAAGCUAUUGAAAAUCGAACCUGGACCUGCUUUAAGGCCGUUUUACUUUUGCUUCUGGGAGCUGCAAUGGCUGCAGCAUUUGCAGAUCCACUUGUUGAUGCCGUGCACAAUUUUUCAAGUGCUACAAGUAUACCUUCUUUUUUCAUUUCCUUCAUUGCGAUGCCUUUGGCUACUAAUUCCAGUGAGGCUGUCUCAGCAAUAAUCUUUGCUAGCCGAAAGAAGCAGCGCACUUUGUCUCUGACAUUCUCUGAGGUAUGUCUGUUGGAUACCUUAUGUUUAGUGUUGACUAUUGGUGCAGUCAGAUAAGUCACCUUCAUUGUGAUUGAUUGCUUAGUCUCAAGCAUUUCCCUCUUUCCUCUAAAACGUGUUACUCUUUGGCUCUCCUACAUUGUUAACCUAUUUAUUUCAUAAAUUAUAUAUUUAUUAGAUAUUUCAAGGUACUUUUGGAAGAAUUUAAAACAAUGUUUUCAAAGAAGCUAAAUUUCUUCAGAUUGCGGACUUAGGCUUCGUUGAUGUUUCGUUCUAUAGUGAAUUCAGUUUAAUUAAUCGAUUGGCUAGUUCCUCCUAGGCCUAGCCAUCCAUUCAUUUGAUAUACUUGUUUAUUGCAGCCAUUCAUAGAUUCAUCAAGCUGUUUAGCUACCUUCUUUUUUCUUCAUCAAGCUGCAAACAAAUAUUUACUAUGUUUGAAACGUCUGAGAGGAAAGUCAUUGGGUUCAGAUUUUAUCCAACUAAAGGACCUUUCUUGUGAACUAAGCCUUACUCGUUAACACAAAAGGACUGGAUUGAUGGUAUUACCAUUUUGAGCUCCAAGUUGGUUGAAUUUAAUUUACUAAAAUAUGAUUGGAAAAUGUGCUUCAAAUAAUUGAAAUGCAAAUUUGGUUGAUUUGACUAAUUUCUGUCAUUGGUUAGUAUAAGCGGGUACCAGCUUUCCGCAGUCGAACAUGCAUAAUGUCGCUUGUUAGGUAGUACCUUACAGUUUGCUGUUGCACCUCUUAAUCUCAUGGGAUCCCCAAUCUAAUUAUGCCUCAGUUUCUGCAGUCAUACAAAAAAACGAGAGAGAAUUUCAUGUGAUGCCAUCAUCUUUAACUGCAGGUCUACGGUGGAGUGACCAUGAACAACACGCUCUGCCUUGCCGUGUUCUUGGCUCUCGUGUACUUGAGAGGCUUAACCUGGGACUUCUCGUCGGAGGUCCUGGUCAUCUUCCUCGUGUGCAUCAUAAUGGGUCUCUUCACCAGCUUCCGGACCAAGUUCCCGCUCUGGACGUGCUUCGUCGCCUUCCUUCUGUAUCCCUUGUCGCUGCUCAUGGUCUACAUCCUUGACUACAAGUUUGGCUGGUCGUAGUCAGCCUGACCUCAGUAGUGAUUAGUGAGGAUACGUCUGAUGUAGAUGGGAGAAAUGUAGGCAUGAACCACUUGUCUGCUGCUUGUAAACCUCAUCGGGUAUCAGUGUUAGCUGGGAUCGAUGGAUUGCUGGCUUCGUACAGCGUGACAAAAUGCAUACUUCGGACAGUCACUAAUAAGCUAAGAUGGACUCUGUAAUACGACAUAUUUAUGUUCGGAACACCAGAAACGGUGUCACUUACUCACUUCUCCGGUCUAAGAUAAUCCUUGUGCAUAUAUUUGGCAACAAUUACAAUCGCUUUUUACACAGCAGAACUGACUAAUGAAUUGCUGACCUAGAGAAUUAGCAGACGAUCAGACGAUCGGCUUACCAUCCAAUGAGUCAUAGCUCAAACGGAAGUACGGGGGCAAUCUUAUCAGAAUACUCUCUCCGUCCAAAAAUGCUAUCGCCUUGCUUUUUCGGCCCGGUUACAUUACAGAUGCAUCAGCCUGUUUGGUAGCCCUCAGAAUACUCUCUCCGUCCAAAAAUGCUAUCGCCUUGCUUUUUCGGCCCGGUUACAUUACAGGUGCAUCAGCCUGUUUGGUAGCCCUCAUUCAUUUUAUUUGGUAGAAAUGAAUUGAAAUCAAUUUUUUUAUAGGAUUCCAUUAGGUUGAAACUGAAUUCUGAAUUAAAAAAUCAUGUUUGUGUGUCACAUGGAUUUGUUGAAUGGGAGACAAUUCCACAUAAAUGACAGCAUUUAAGAAAUGAUAACUUCUAGAGAGAAGUGGGGGGUUAAUCUGUAGUGUGAUUCCAAGAAAUUUUAGAUUAAAAUCCUGUAACAAAUUUUGCGCCAGCCAAACAAGUUGAUUUCUGAAAUUCAAAAUAAAUUUGAGCAUUCUAGACCCAAAUAAUGAGUGCCAAAGGAGCUUACAGGUGUAUUUUUUUUAGCUCCUUUAUUUCCCCUUCCAUACAGGAAAACACAGAUGGUUUAUUGCACGGGGAAAACUUAAGGGACCAUAGCGCAUAUGAGGCCACAGCAAUUUUCUACUCUAAAUCAAUGACGAUAGGUUGGAAAUCAAUAACAGCUCGUUUGGCACCCAUCAUUUCGGUUCAGUAUCCUAGAAUUCAUUUUAGAUUCCAGAAACCAACUUCUUGUUGGCUGGCGCAAAAUUGGAUAGAAAUUUGAUUCAAAAUUCCAUAGAACCACACCAUAACUAAGCCUAAUUUCUCUCAAAAAGCCAUUAUUUUUCCGAAACUGUCUCUCUCUAGAAAUUCAUGUAGCAAAUGAACAUGUUUUUUGAAUUUGGAAUUCAAAUUUUACCAAAUGAAAUCCUAUCAAAAGUUGGAUUUCAUUUCAUUUCUAUCAAAUGAAAUGAAAGGAGGAAUGCCAAACGAGCUUAAGAGAAACCCUACGGGCGCGGAAGACCGGUAAUGAAUCGAAUCAACAAUGUACGAAUAUUCAAUUGGUAGGAGUACACAAUUAAUAUACACCCUCCGUCCAACAAAAGAUGUCUCGACUUUCACUAAAUUUAAAUGCAUCUAUACACUAAGUCAUUUCUAGAUACAUUCAAAUUUUGAUAAAUUUGAGACAUCUUUUAUUGGACAGAGGGAGUACAGACAUAACAUGACACGGAUCUAUCUACUGAUUUAUCGAUGCACGUCUGCAACGAUGAGCUGCCCGAAAUACCUCCAAACAGAACAGAGCAACACUACUCUCGUCGCUCUUAAUAUUCUGAUGUGUUUAAUCCCUGUAGUAAUCUAAAUAGCACGCACUCCGUAGCUUACAAUGUGGCAAACCUGCAAACCAAGAGAAGAUGCAGGACACAUUGCAUUGAUCGACAAAAGCAAUCAACCUUCUCAAAAUGUUUGCAACUUUCGUAAAAAAUGAAAUUGCUUGCAUUUACAGUUUUCAACACUAUUCCUAGCAGCACAUCACAACUUCACAAGUAGUCGACGUUGAGCACCACCUGAUCCGGUGGCCGUUCCGGCGGCGGAGGGGGGAGCAGCUGGAGCACGCUGCAGCGGCAAACCGGGCACGUCGCGUGGUCGCGCAGCCACUGGUCGAUGCACUCGGUGUGGAACAUGUGCAGGCACGCCGGCAUCCGCCGCACCGCGUCCCCUUUCUCCACCUCGCCGAGGCACACCGCGCAAUCGGCGCCAUCGACGCCUCCCCUGUGCACGUAGCUCGGUAUGCGGUCCGCGGCGAGAGCGGCCCGCAGCUCGUCGCGGGUCGUCAUCAUCCUCCUCACCUCCCGCACCGGGCGCGGGAGCUCCUGCAACGACGACGACGAGGACGACGACGCCACCGUCCGUGGCGCCGGAGUCUCGCUGCCGUGCUGCUCGCGUGGUGCCCCCGUGGACGGUGCCGGUGCUGACGAGGACAGCCAGCGUGGCCAGGGCGGGCGCUUGAGGUCGGCGUAGAAGCUGCAGCAGAGGACGAGGCUGACGGUGGUGCAGAAGGUGGCGAAGAUGGCGAACAUGAUGGCGUGGCCGGAGUAGGGCCGCUUAGCCUUGAGGAGGUGCACGACGGCGACCGGCAUGGUCACGAACCCGACGGCGAAGAUGGCGUGCGCCACCACGAAGUCGCUGCUCCAGUGGUAGCAACUGUCGCGCCUCCGCUGCAGGGCGGGCAUCUGUGUGGGCUCCUCCGUUCUUGAACUCUCUCUACCUGGGAUGUGGAUUUGCCUUUGCGUGGGGAACGAGCGCCGGGGAAAAUUACUCAGCUGCGGGAAUCGAAAAUAUGUACGGAGUACAGUACUUGUCAGUAAGCUGCUUGGACAUCUCAGCGGUCGUCAUUGUAAUGUGCGCGGCACAUAGCUGGGAGAUGAAAACGAUGAGCUUACGCGUGUUAAUUAGUGGCAAUUUCAAGUUGGAUCAGGUGUUGUCAUUGGUGUCGUAUGUAUGCGACCGCGAUGCAUGCUGUAGUUUGUCCUUGUCACAUGGGUUAGUGGACUACUUUAGGAUUGUCCGAGGUUUCAUUUCACUGUUUCUGCUAGAGCGGUUGCUUUACAUCAUCCAUCGAUUUAGUCCAUGCUGAAUGAUGUGACUACAUAUGCUGUUUUUUCCUCUCCGUCUCUGAUUUAUUUGUCUUUUUAUUUUUUUUGAAGGAUGCCAUGUCUGUUAGAUCUGUUGUAAGGGAUAGAACUGACUUAGAAUCAAUUCUUUCUGAACAUGUACAAUGUAAGGUGUUUAAUCAAAAUAAACAAGAUUUUGAGUUUUGUCUAAGCACUCGUGCCUGUGUUCUAUUGGAUAGGUAAUUAAUUAGACACCUCUGAUAUAAAAAUAAGCAAUGGUGUUUAAAAGUAAACCAGUUUAUUUUUUUUAUUUUUUGAUGAAACAACCAUCAGCGGGUUAUUUAUUGCCAAAGGACGAUCGAAAAAGAAUUUCGACCACCGAAAAAGUGGCCCCGUUUAUAAGGGAAACUGGACCGAAAAACCGAACAGAGAAAAAACAUAGAAAAAAGAGAACACUAGAGGUUGGAGGUAGGGUUCAGAGGGUCUAGAGAAAAACCAGUUUAAUUUUGAACACCACCUUAAGAACUUUGCAUUCUGCAUGUUCUUAGGCUCCAAAUUCUUCAAAAACGGUUUACCGUUCUCUAUUCAUAGAGAUCAUAGUGAGAAAACCCUCAUAAAACCAUGUUGGUUUAAUCCCGUCCCUGUCUUAAUCCAAGGAGAAUAGAAGGGAUUGGAAGAAUUCUAGUUCAUUUUCUUUUAAAUCCUUUCCGACAUAUCUAUAAACUCUAUAAAGUUGAACUCCACUAAGUUAAUUUAGCAAGAUGCACAUGCAGACUAUCCACGUCACCACCAUGCUCAGCCUGGGCGUAACAUGGGCAAAAUAAAAAAUAAAAAAACAAAUCUCGUUCGGUUCCCUCUCCUUGCUCAAUCUGCUCGACUUGGGAAAAGAGAAAAGAGAAUCCCAUUCCUUUCCCUCGCUCGAUCUGCGCCAACAAGCGCCGGCGAAUCGGAGCGCCACUCUCCUCCGGCUCUUGCUCCCUAGCGCCCGAGGUCCCACCACCCCCUGCUCCCUCGCCCAUCCUGCCUCACCGCUCCAGGCUCCUAGCCCCUGGAAAUCGCAGCCGCUCGAUCUCCGACCACCGGCGUGGCUGCCUUCCUAUGGACGGUGGAACUGAGCUGCCAUGUCAUCGACGUCUCUUCGAGAUCCAGCCGCCACCUGCUCCCCAAGUGCACCGAUACUACAAGAGAAUCCUACAUUGCCGGCGGCCCGAAGCCUCCGGCAAAGGCCGUCGGCACGAAGGCAUACCAGCAAAGGCUUCUUUGCCGGCGGCCUUUUUACGGGCCCUUUGGUAAAUCCUUUGCCGGAGGCUUUUUGCGGCUCUCGGCAAAGAAAAGUAGCUAACGGAACGAAACGGCACAUGAUGGCUUUGCCGGCGGCCAGCCUUCGCAAAGAAAAAAAACAUAAUUAAAAAAUAAAAAGUAAUUUAUUUGCCGUAGACUGCAGCCCUCGGCAAAGAAAGUAAAAAGUAAUUAAAAAAAGCAACACCGCCGGUGCUGCUGCAGGUCGCCGCUGCUCCUCCUCGCCACUGCUCUCGCGCUGCUGCUGCUGCUACUCGCUGCUGCCCCUCGCUGCUGUAGGCCGCCGCCGUUACUCCUCGCGCCGCCGGUGCUGCUCCUCGCCGCUGCUCUUGCGCUGCUGCUGCUCCUCUCUGCUGCUGCUGCUUCAUGCCCCGCCGCCGCCUCUCCUCCUCGCUGCUGCCGCCCCGCCACUGCCUCUGCAACCCCGCCGCGGACGCUGCUGCCGCCCCGCCGCCGCCGCUGCCUCCACCCGGCUGCUGCUGCUGUUGGAGAGAGGGGAGGAGCCGCGCAGGGGAGGAGGAGGUGCGCGGGGAGCCGCGCAGGUCACCGGCACUCGGCCGCGUGGGGAAGAGGCGGCGUGCACGCUGCUGCCCGCCUGCAUAGGAGCCAACGGAGAGGGAGAAGGAGAGAGCUCGUGGGGGAGAGAGAUGAUAGAGAGAUAGGGCCAUAGGGGGAGAUAAGAGAGAAAGAGAAAAAGAGACGUGGCUGGAGGAGAGAUCGGGAGAGAUAAGAGAUUGAGAGAAAAAAGAGAUCGGGGGAGAUAAACGAUAUCGAUCCGUGGCGCGGUCACGUGGAUCGGUGACGUGGCCGAGACUAGGCUGCCGGCAAAGAGUUUCAGGGGCUUUUUGGUUGACUACCUGAGCAGUGUGUCUGAGAAAAAUUCGUGCCUGCCACUAGCCUGAGAUUUUACUGUAUUGCGCCUAUCCAGGCAUAUUUGAGAAACUGUGUUCGGUUGGUGGCCCUGAGAAAUUAAUAAAGGUAGUACAUAUGCAUGGCAUUGGGUAGAGAGAAAGUAGAUCAAACAAUUAAAGAAUCAAGUGCUUAUGCCUAAGCUCAGGCCUCCUAUUUUGGUGGCCUGAUUCAGGGUAAUUGCAUGCGUGUGGGCUCAGGUCAGGCAAGGGAAAAAAGAGUCAGGUAAGCAACCAACCAAGACUCAGGCUUUACUCAGGUCAGACAAAUUUGUCUCAUGGUGGCAACCAAACAGCCUCUCAGCCUUAUUUCUUUUCUUUUUCUUUUGCAUGUAUAAAAUUCGUAAGACUUGACCCAUUUAGUUAUUUAUAUUAGUCUGUAAUUUUUAUCCCAAGUUUGCAUACCCAUAGCAUGACACCAUGCAAAAAAUUGUCAAUUAUUGAUAAAGUCUUAGUAUUAUUUCAUUUUUUCCUAUUAAACGGCUCUAGAAAAUGAUAAGUAAUUAUUUUUACAUAUGAGGUGUUGACUUUAAUUCAUAUUACUCAUCACUGAUGCUAAGUGAAAUCACGGUAAAAAAAAUCAACUCACAAACCGUACAAAUUAUUGCGAAACUUGGUUCGGGACUUGAAUUAGAAGGUUCAUUCUCGAGAUCGUUCAAUUUGUGAAGAAUGUACCCUUUCACUUUUGUGUAUUGAUUUGAAAUUUUUAUCCAAACCUUAUAUACCCAGAAUAUGACUCCAUGACAAAAAAUUGCUAAUAUUUGACAAAGUUUUAGUAUUAUUGAAUUUUUUUUCUCUAAAACGGCUCUAAAUACUGAUAAAUAAUUAUGUUUACAUAAAAGUUUGUGAUUUUAAUUCACAUUACUCAUCAUUAACAGUAUAUGAACCAAUAGUGAAAGAAUCAACUCAAAAAGUGAAAACAAUAUUGCAAACCUUGUUCAGGACUCAAUUUGGAUGUUUGAGCGCUAAGUUCAGAAACUUAUACGAAGAUGUUGCAAUUUGUGAAGCAUGCACCAUUUUGAUUUUGCGUAUGGACCUGUAGUUUUUAUCCCAAGUUUAUAUACCCAUAAAACGACACCAAGCCAAAAUGUGUUCUUUUUUGACAAUGUCUUAGUAUUAUUUCAUUUUUUUUCCUAUUAAACGGCUCUACAAAAUGAUAAGUAACUAUUUUUACAUAAAAUGUGGCCAUUUCAAUUCAUAUAAGUAAUCAUUAAUGACAAAUGUAAGCACAGUAAAAGUUUCGACUAAAAAAUGAGUCAAAUUAAUGCGAUGCCUUGUUCGGGAAUCAAAUGUCGAGGUUCACUCUCGACAUCGUGUAUUUUGUAAAGUAUGUACCAUUUUAGUUUUGUUUAUUGACUUAAAAAAUUUAUCCCAAUGUUAUACACCUAUAACAUGGUACCAUGCAAAAAAUUGUGAAAUUUUGGCAAAGUUGUAGUAUUUUUUUUUCAUUCUUCCCUAUUAAAAGGCCGUAGAAAAUGAUAAAUAAAUAUUUUUACAUAAAAAGUUAUCAUUUUAAUUCACAUUUCUUUUCAUCAAUGCCAAAUGAAAUUACAAUAAAAAUUGGAACUCAAAAAGUGGUGGUUUAAAUCAUAAUUUGAAAGAAGAGAGAAAUGAACACAAACAGGAAAAAAACAGACAAAACUCUUUGCGGGAGGCCUUUUUUGCCCGGCCUUCGGCAAAGAGGCCUCCCGUCACGGUGUCGUUAGCUUCAGCGGCAAGUCCACGUGAUCACCUUCUUUGCCGGGGGCUUUUGCUUUGCCGGAGGCCUUUUAUAGUCUUUGUCGGAGGCUUUUCUUUGCCGGAAGACUCAUCCGGGAACAGGUGAUGCCGGCCCACGCCUGGGGGCAACUGUCGCACCAGUGGCACGUGGGGUACUACCGCUGCGCGACGCGUGGGCCCUGUCCCCGAGUACCCGGGAGGGUUUCGUCCCGGGCAGCAGCCACGAGCAAGCCGGCAAGCUACCAACUCGGAAGGGCUAGUGGGGCUUCGGGGAGUAUUCCCGCCUGGGCACCUCCCGGGAAGCCGCUUCCCGGGAGGGGGGUUCCUGGUGCGUUGGACCUGGGCGCUUCCCGGGGAGCGACUUGCCGGGAGAAGGGGUUCCCGGACGCAGGCUCUCGCCUCAAGGGUGGGGCCCAGCAAGCAGAGCAACAGCUACACGCGGACGCGUGGCGGGCGUCGGGCGCGCGGCCUCGCCAGGGCGAGGAGUGAGGCGCACGGCUCAUUAAAUGAGCCGACAGGAGAGCGUUACCCGUCCAAAUCAGGUGAACAGUGGCUGUCCAAUCCUACCCUAGGGUUUUAGACCGCUAGCGGCGGAGGUGGCGCCCAUGCGUGCCACCAGCUCACCGGGAGGGAGUUGUAUGCCUCCCCGUUCGACACUUGUAAUGCAUGCGCCCCGGCACCUGUGGCAUCCCCUUGAUUAUAAAAGGAGGACCCCCGCCGGCGGUCAAAGGGUUCCACAUCUUUCUGGGGUUCAGCCAGUUCAGUCGGUUCGCUAGGUCCUUCCCUCUAGCUCGUUGGUUUGUCGGCAGAGCCAACUCGUAGUGCACACAAGCAGUGGCCUGAAGUAGAAAGUAGUAUUUAGCAAGAAAGGAGAGAGUGCCCGGGGACCCACCCCUGGCAAGGUGUAAACACUUGAUCCAUAAUCAAUACUAGAUCAGACAGGCAUGACGUAGGGUUUUACACCUCCGGGUGGCCCGAACCUGGGUAAAAACGUGCGUGCAUGCGUUCUUGGUUUGUGCGCACCUCAGGUACAUCACUUCGCCGGUCGUGAAGGACCAUCGGCCACGCCGGCGAUCGCCGGAGCGAUCCCCGAUGCCCCUGCCAAACCUAAAAGGGGGCCGCGACCGCACGCUCCCGGUGUCGGAGCCCCGCGCGACGACAGCGAAGAUGUCAGUUGUAUGUAACUUUAUUCGGUCCUAACUAGUUAAGUUUCAAAACAUAUGCACAAUGUGGAUACUCGGGAGACUGAAUUCUGGAUGCUAGAGACGGUUGGUUUCAUUGCAAUAAAAUGGAGCCGGGGAGGGGGUCCCUGUUCAUCUAAAAAUGUAUAUGCAUGCACAAUGUGCAGGGUAAUGCGAUUUCUAUUUGGCGACAUAAAUAUACGACAUGUACGUGUGUGUUCAGAGUAAAUUGCACAAAGACACAUAUAUAGCGGCUCUUGUAACAAAAAACCACGAACCCAAGGGUUUUUAACAGAUACCCACUAAUCAUACGCUAACAAGUAACAAAAAACCCGAAAUGGCUGGUUUGCCCAAGUUAACUGCCCGUGGCCCACAUGUCAUACAAAGCAUCCUAAUUACUAGAUCAAGUGCAAGGAAACGGCUCGAGCCGACAUAUGAGCCGGCCCAGGCUAUCCCCUUCAGGGUGGCUUCUCUCAGGCAUUACCUGUCGUCUUCUUCCUCCUCCUCCUUGAUCCAUUGCCUGCUUCUUCACCGGCGAGCAUGACCGCGACGCCGGCGGUGAUCGGCCUGAGUUCUUCCGCCCCUCCGCCGCCACCGCUCCAUCCACCAGCCUCGCAUCAGCAGCCGCAGCCCCAUCCGGCCGCUUCCCAAUCCCAUCAGCAACCACAACCCCAUCCAGCCGCCUCGCAUCAGAAGCCACAUCAGCCCCAUCCAGCUGCCUCGCAUCAGCAGAAACAGCAGCCCCAUCCGCCAUCCUCGCAUCAGCAACGGCCCACGAUUUGCUUCAACACGCGCUGCAAGGACCCCAAAUCGGAAGGCCCACACCACCGCGGCUGGCGCCUGCGCUCCGGCGACUUCAGCGAGCUCUGCGACCGAUGCUAGUACGUACGGUAACUCCUUAAUUAACUCCCCCCCUUCGCCCCGCUCGAUUCGUGCUUGGGCUCCUCUUCUUCUUCCUCCUCCUCCUCCUCCUCCUCCUCCUCCUCCUCCUCCUCGCUGCAGUUCGGGCCUUCGGGUCCCCAGCCGUGCUUCGGGGCAUUGGCGCGGGAGAGGCGGAUGAGCGGGCGGAGGCUGGGGCGGUCUAGCUCCUCCAAGGCGAAGAGCGGCGGCGGCGCGCACCUGGGCGUCGUGAGCCCCGUGCGGAUGCAGGAUCUAACUCCGAUGGGGAUGCAGGAUCUAACUCCGAUGGGGCUCCGUCAGCAUGGAGCUGUGCACACACGGGCUCAAGCUUCGGCCGCCUCCACGGCUCCUCGGCCGCCGUCGGGGGCCUCUACAGGGAGAGAGGGAGGGAGGAGGCGAGGCAGGCGGCGGGCGCGGUCGGCAUGAGAAGAGCCAACAACGAUGGGAAGAGCCAGAUGCACUCGCAACCGGAGCUGGUGAAAAAGAACCUGGAGUGAGAAGAGUGAGAGAAUGGAGAGAGAGAGGGGGGGGGGAGCUGCCGGGAAUAAGCCGGCUUGAGCGGCCGGAAAUGAGCUGUGAGGCAAAGAACUGGUUUCUGUGUAUCACAUGCGGGCCAUGAAGGUUAAUUAGUCUUAACCGGUCACUUUCAGAUUUUUUGUUAUUCAUUAGUCUUCAUGUCGUGGGUAUCAGUUAAAAAAACCUGGAUUCGUGGUUUUCUGUUACAAGAGCCGCUACGUAUGUGUUUCUCUGCAAUUUACACUGUGUGUUCACAUUCAUGAAUACGGCACGAGCAAAUCUGACAUAAGCUUAGUCGCAUAUUUAGACCAACAUCGACUUAUGCUUAACGGCUACUUGUUGCACGUCGCAAAUUAAGACAAGGCACGUGGCCACUACCUAGAUUGUUUACCAAGAACUUUCGGUUUCUAGAUAGCCAAUUGAGUUCUUUUAUUAUGCCGGAUGAGAAAUAUGAAACAAGUAUGUACUGUAGCAUAUCCGGCACAAUCUUUAUUUAUGGAAGCUGCCUCUGGGAUCGGUUGAUUAAGGAUUGAAGCUUUCUUAUACUGUAAGUCAAGCAAUACAGAAAACAUAAAUAAGGAAUGCCCCAACGGGGUAAUCAUGUGGCAAAUACUCCUGUCUUUGACUUAGUGAACCCAUCGUAUUAUCGGAUUAUCAGUACACUCUAUAUAUGUAGAGCUCGAUCGAUUCAAAGCAGCAGCAGCACUGCAUCGUCGGAAGACGAAGCAAAUUAAGAUCAAUGGCUCUGUCUCGAAGCUCAAAGCUAGCACUUUCCUUCAUCUUCUUCUCAUGCUUCUCUCCCGUGAUCCCUUCCCUAGCUUCCUCCGAUGACUUCCUCCAAUGCCUCUCGGAGACCAUGCCAAACAACCUCGUCUUCACCCAGAGCUCGCCUUCCUUCACAUCCAUCCUGGUCUCCUCCAUCCGCAACCCCAAAUUCUUCACGCCGACCACGGUGAGGCCGCUCUGCAUCGUCACGCCGACGAACGCCUCCCACGUCCAGGCCGCCGUCAUCUGCGGCCGCCGGCACGGCGUGCGCCUGCGCGUGCGCAGCGGCGGGCACGACUACGAGGGCCUCUCCUACAGGUCAGAACGAGCCGAAGAGGUGUUCGCCGUGGUGGACCUCGCCAGCCUCCGCUCAGUCAGCAUCGACGCGGCCACGGACACCGCGUGGGUGGACUCCGGCGCCACGAUCGGCGAACUGUACUACGCCAUCGCCAAGGCGAGCGGCGACCGGCUGGCGUUCCCGGCGGGCCUGUGCCCGACGAUCGGCGUGGGCGGGCAUCUCAGCGGCGGCGGCAUGGGCAUGCUUCUGCGCAAGUACGGGCUCGCCAUUGACAACGUCAUCGACGCCAAAAUGGUCGACGCCGAGGGCAGGAUCCUCGACAAAUCCUCCAUGGGGAGCGACGUCUUCUGGGCGAUCCGGGGCGGCGGCGUCGGCGGGAGCUUCGGGAUCGUGCUUUCAUGGCAGGUGAAGCUCGUGCCCGUGCCGCCCACCGUGGCCACCUUCAGCGUCCGGAAAUCGGCCGCCGAGGGCGCCGCGGGGAUCCUAGCCAAAUGGCAGGAGCUUGGAGACCUCCUCCCCGAGGAGCUCUUCAUACGGGUGCUCGUCCAGAAGCAAGGGGCCAACUUCCAGUCCCUGUACCUGGGCACCUGCGCCGAGCUCCUCCCCGUGAUGCGCGCCGCGUUCCCGGAGCUGGGCGUGAACGCGACGCACUGCAAGGAGAUGACCUGGGUCCAGUCCGUGCCGUACAUCUACCUGGGCGCCACGGCCACCGCCGAGGACCUCCUCAACCGGACCACCUCCCUGGACACCUUCAGCAAGGCCACGUCCGACUACGUCCGGCAGCCCAUCCCGGAGGCCGUCUGGGCGGAGAUCUUCACGGCCUGGCUCGCGAAGCCGGAGUCCGGGCUCAUGAUCCUGGACCCCUUCGGAGGCGCGACCGGCAGGGUGCCGGAGUGCUCGACGCCGUUCCCGCACCGCGGAGGGGUUCUGUACAACAUCCAGUACAUGAAUUUCUGGGGGAAGGAUGGUGGUGGCACGGCUCAGGUGAAGUGGAUCAAGGAGUUUUACGCCUUCAUGGAGCCGUACGUGAGCAAGGACCCCAGGGAGGCGUACGUGAACUACAGGGACCUUGACCUGGGCCAGAAUGUCGUCCUCGGUGACGGCGACGACGGCGUCACGAGCUAUGAGGACGGCAAGGUUUGGGGCGAGAAGUACUACAAGGGGAAUUUCGAGAGGCUCGCCAUGGCCAAGGCUGAGAUCGAUCCUGACGACUACUUCCGGAAUGAGCAGAGCAUCCCUCCACUAAUUUGUGAGAAGAAGCAGACGUUGAGGAAGGCGGCGCACGGUCACGCUCAAACCGUGUAGUACCUGCACACAAUUCACUCCUGCUUAUUACAGCAUACUGUAUGUUAUCUUUCUUGUUUUUUCCAUCGUGUGUUUUGCGUGUCGGCGCCUUUCUUUGAAUUGUAUGCUCGAUUGCUAAUCGAAACCAGACUUUACGACUAUCAAAGCAUCCUCUCUCUUUUUUUUCCCCCCCUUCUACGUAUCACUUUUCUGUCACGCUUUGAGCUUUAUGUCUCCACGUUACACCUGCUGGUAUCGAGUAAAGAAAGAAUUCUUUGCAACGACACCGUUGUUUCUGAUCUCUGAAACUCACGCAAGUGUCAACUUUGUUGCACGCUCACUGAAUCAGUUACUAGGUUGUUUCUGAUCUCUGAAACUCACGCAAGUGUCAACUUGUUGCACGCUCACUAAAUCAGUUACUAGGUUGUACUACUAUAUGAAGUUGAUGUCUAAGCUUUGCUUGCUCAGAUGUCAAAAUGGAGAUGGAGAGACCAGUCAGGCUCUGUGAGUUUAGCUCAAUAAAUUAAACAGAACUACGAAUAUAAAUCGAUCGCUUUAAGAAGAAAUCCUGUGUAGAAUAUUGCUGUAUCUUUGUCACACUUGCAGUUCAGGUGCAUCAAUGGAUGUUCUGACUGAUACUGAAUUAAAUGGUGCUACAACAAUAGAGUAACAACUCUGGCAAUACUCAGAAACUCUGGCAUCCUUAGAGUAAAUAACUACUCCGUCAUAGCGACAUCGGAGACAUCAGUAUUCAUCCAUCAGUAGCCCGUUGAAGUGCAAACUAAAGUUCAGUACUGUUCUAUUGAAUUGAUGCACCUAACAGUUUACCCAAAGUAAUAUAUUUCAACAUGUUCAUCCGUCAGAACGUAAUUAUCUAGUAUUCGAAUUGAAGAUAAUUACCGAAGUGUAUCCAUCCUACUCAGACUCACCGUGAAAGUACUAAAAUACCCUUUUGGGAAGAGAGGGUGUGCUGAAGUAACUCUUGUGUGGAAACAAGGGACUUACAUCGGUUCGUAGGCACUGUCUCAGGUGGUGUGGAAACCAAGGUAUUCUCACUUUUUGGGAGAUCUGAUGAGAGCCAAACGAUCUUUUUUCCGUUUUGGAUCAUUCUCUAUCAAGUAUAGCUCUCAAGUGAGAUUCUGGGAGAAUUCUUGGCUCGGUGGUCGUCCCCUUCGAGACCAAUACCUUUCCUUAUUCCUCAUUGUUCGUAACAAACACGAUACCUUGGCACAGGUUCUCGUCUCCUUCCCACCAAAUGUGUCCUUCAGGCGCAACCUUGUCGGAUCUAAUUGGUGGAUUGGACCAACCUCCUGACUCGCCUUACUACUAUGAACCUAUCUCCUGGACAUGAUGAGUUUCGCUGGAAUCUUCACCCCAGUGGUUUAUUUUCGGUCAAAUCAAUGUACCAUGUCGUGGUCCAUGCUGAUAUGCACGCCGAUAUCUAACAAACGUAUAUGGAGAUUAAAGAUUCCUCUAAAAAUUAAAAUUUUCCUUUGGUUUUUGCGGCGGGAGGUCACUCUUACUAAAAACAACCUGUUAAAGCGGAUUUGGAAGGAUGAGACCGUUACACACCUUUUUUUUCCGAUGUGAUGUCUCUCGAUCUGUGUGGUCGAUGGUCCAAAUAACUUCAAAUCUUUAUCCUCCCCGUGAUGUUGCUCACAUGUUUGGGCCUUGGUUACGGGGUGUUCACAAAAGAUUGAGCGCGCUUCUUAUGUUCAGGGUUGCUGUUUUAUGUUGGGCUAUUUGGCUGUACAAAAAUGAUAAUGUUUUUUUAAUAGAAAGAAUUUAACUUCUCCAAUGCAGGUUUUGUAUUCUUGCAUGCAUUGAUGUCGUACUUGGUUUAACUUCUCGAGCCGGCAGACCGUCAUUUGGUUUUGAUGACGUGCAACCAGCGGGAGCAAGUUGUCAGUGACAUUUUUACCCACUAUGAGUGGCGGUCUAGUAUCCGUCUUGAUGUUGAUUGAAUCGUUAUAUUUGUUUCAUUGUAAUAAGUUUGUUCGAUACUUCCUCCUUCCCAGUUUAUUUGUCGUAUUAGCAUCAUCACAAUAACCAAUGAAUCCAUCUAUGCAUGCAAACCGGCUGAAAUCAUAGUUAAUUUCUGGCUUUUCGAGUCCAGCGUGUACUGCUCCUUUCCCACGGCUAGCCAUCAGCCCACCAGUGCAUGCCCAUGCAUGCGUGCAUGUUGGCCCACAGCAGCAUGUGCCGCCUGUGUUUCUCCCCAAGUCUACACUCGCGGAGUGAGCUGCAUUAGUUACCGACCUUAGACGACAUUUUUUCUGGGAAAAAAAUAAAAAGCUAAGGCGACAAGUAAAUUGAGAAGAACUGAGUACUUAAUUAUUGGAUGUGUGUGUUUCGAAAUAGAGACCGGAAUGUGAUAUUGUGUGAUUGUUUCGCUCGAUAUAACAUUGAGAUCAAUAAAAUCUUUCAUUUUCGAAAGAAAAAACUAACUCCUGUGUAAACCAUCCUAGCAAUCAGAUGACUUAGCAUUGAGAAUGCACCCAACUAACACAGCGACCAAACGAAAAACCUAAAAAAGGCAAAGCCAAGAAGUGUAAACGUUCGCGGCGGUCAAGCAAACAUGAAGAAACUACACAUUCCACGACCAAACAUGAAGAAGGAAUUAAUGCUGAAUGGCACACCGUCUUAUAGAGCGAGCCACUGGGUCUUGUUGACCCGGAUCUGACUACACCACUAGUGAGUCUCACAAAGUCCACAAAUCCAAGUUGUCAGGAAGGCGAUGGUACAAUCGGACAUUGAUCGAACGUAGGUGCACACACCCGAAACCUUGCGGGUGAAGAGCUAAGGAUCCAUUCCCUCCAUUUCAUAAAAGUUGACGUAUUUCGUUUCGUUAAGACAAGCUUUUGACCAAAAAUUACUCUAUCAAUAUGUAAGUUAUAUGAUACGAAACCAUGAUCAUUAGCAAGAACUUUUAAAGACGAAUCCAUUGAUAUAAAUUUCAUGUAUGAAAAAAUACAUAUCAAUAGAGUUUCAAUUGAUCAAAGACUUAUCUUAACGAAACAAAAUACGCCAACCUUUGUGAAAUGGAGGGAGUACUACGAGUGGAACAUUUACCUUCACAUUUUUUUCAACAGUUUGACUGACCAUGCAAAUCAUAUAAAUUGGGACGGUCACACUAGAAGCAUGGGUGUUGACAAAUGCCAGUGUUAAUAGAAAAAAAACUAACAAUGCUAUUAUGCUACUAGCGCUACAUGCGUGCUUCUGAGUUCUGAUCGACCAGAGAAGUAGCUGCUCACAGAAUGCCAAUGUGCAUCCACGGUUCUGAACUUCUGAUCCCGCGCGCGUUUUCUGUCGCCACCAACUCAUCAUGCAAGAAACAAUAUCUGAAACGGACAUGGCAAAUUAAUGUCAGCGUACGUCCUCACACAAUUUGCUCCGGCAACAACGGCGCGAGCACGUUGCGCCGGCAGACGGGGCACGUGGAGUGGUCACGCAGCCACAGGUCGAUGCACCGCCGAUGGAACACGUGCAGGCACGCCGGCAGCCGCUUCACCGUCUCCCCCUGCUCCACCUCGCCCAGGCACGCCGCGCACUCAGAUGCGCCGCCGCCCUCCGGCUGCUCGUACGUCGUCGGGAUAUCGUCCGUCGUUGCCACCCGCGCGCCGCCUCCUCCCACCGGCGGCUCCCGGGCCAGAACGACCAGGUGACGACCCUGUCCUGGAACCACAAGGUCGCUGCCGCUGCCGCUUUCUAUUUCUGGCCGUUGGCUUGAGCGUGCGCAGCACCGGCACGGCAGGAAGAGCAGCCAGCCGACGGCGCCGCGGAAGCACCGGCCCAACGUCGUCGACAACGGGAAGUACAUGUCGCAGCAGUUGACGUACAUGCCGCCAGCGAUGAUGACCCAGAAGAGGAGGACGACGGCAAGCACGGCGACGGAACAGUUGCUGAGUCGUCCACCACGCGACUCGGAAAUGAUCAAGGAGAGGAACAUGGACGCGCCGCCGAAGCACACGAUGCUGACCAUGGCCAGCAACAACACGCGGCCGAAGCAACCCAUGGCCUCAGCUCGCUAUGGCUAGCUAGCUAAGCCACCAGCCAAUACUUCUUCAGCGGUUCACUCUCAAAGCCUCGGCGGGGGCUCGAUCAGGUGAAUCAGCUCGCAGGUCGUCGCGCAAAUUCCAUUUCGUACCGAGGAAGCAAGCGGUUCACUCCAAAGCCCCGGCGAGGAAGCAAGCGAUCAGCCUAUGGGCGGCUCAUGUACAUAUGCAAGAUUGAUUUCGGCACUAAUAAUUUGUUUAAUAAUACGGCAUCGGCAUCGCCUAGAUGAUCGGUGUAUACGUCGUCGCCGGCAUUUCUACGGCGGCCUUAUGCGUUUGGACUUUGGAGUGGUGCGGAGAUGGCGAUCGAGGUGCUGGAAAUGCAUAGUUGAGGAUGAUUUGCUCUAAGCGUACGUCGCAGGUGCGGCAAAAAGAUGUGUCACUUGUUCACCGUUCCCUUUCUUUUCUUUUUUCUGGCUUUUGUAUUUUGUAUUUACCUUUCUCUUUUAAUAUAUUUGGCAGUAGGUUAACGGGUCGGGUUGGCGGCAUCCGACAGGUGGGCCCCAUCUAUAAGAAAUCAAGUCAAACCGCCAAAUCACUGAGUUUCGGACUGGUUGAGGCAAAUUUACUCAAAAUGUGUGAUUUUUUUGCGGACAGUUUUUUUUGUUAACUGUGUCAUGAUCCAUUUUUAUUCGGCUCAAUCUUUUUUUUUCUAAAAAAAAAGAUUGAGCCGAGUUUAAUUGCAGUCAAUUAGAAGAAUAAAGAAGAAUUACUGCAUUUCGUAACUUAUUUUUUCUCUUUUUAUUUUGUUUCUUUUUAUUUAGACCUUCUUCAUAUUUAGUUUUAUCUAUUAAUUGAUAGUAUCUACCGGCGCGAACUCGAAUUUGAUCGCCUUCCUUUCAAUAAUAAAAACUCUUUUGUUUGUAAGAAAGGAAUGAGAGAGAUAUGGAUUAGAAAUUGAAUUUCCCCUUUUUUUUCUUUCUCUUUUUUUCUAUAGAUCAGACAUUUGUUUAUGGAAGAAAAAUAAAAAGAUUUAGUUCAUAUUCACGAAGCCCCAGAUUUUUGGGCCGAGCUGGAUUUGAACCAGCGUAGACAUUUUGUCAACGAAUUUACAGUCCGUCCCCAUUAACCGCUCGGGCAUCGACCCAGGAAGAAUUUGAUAAUCUAUGAUUAAUCUCCUUUCAUAAUACUCCCUACCCCCAGGGGAAGUCGAAUCCCCGCUGUUCGGCGAAACCACUGCCCAAAAUUGUUGAUUUUUAAAUUUACUCUCAGUUUUUUUUUCUAGAAUACACCCAAUCAGGUGUAUCAUUGAUUUAUAGAAGAAGAAUUUGCUCCGAAGCGGCUACAUGCCCAAAGGGCCGACACACGACAUAACUAGCCGUUAUCUCUCCACUUUCUCGGGAUCGACCCGAAGCCUAGACCACUAAGGAGCCCAGCACGAAUCCAGGCCUCCGCCUCAACACUUAAGCCACUCAGAAAGGAAGCUAAAAGGACCGGGGCAUGGUCGAAGACCACCCUAUUCGUAAACCUCCAGACCGACCAGAAAAUCAGCGACGAGCUCGUAGAGAACUCCUUGCGAUCCUUGCCGGAGAGGGGGAUAGCCAACCACCAAUCAGAGAGAGUGGCCUCCGGCCCAGGCAUCCAUUCCACUUUUCCCCACUGAGCGAGGGCCUGCCACCGGACUUGUCUCACAAAGGAGCAGCCGAGGAGGAGGUGAGAGAUAGUCUCGUCCUCCUGGCCGCACAGAGGGCAGCUCUCCGGGUGAUCCAAACCGCGACAAGCGAGCCGGUCAGCCGUCCAGCACCUCCCACGACAGGCAAGCCAGGUGAACAGCUUGCAUUUAGCCGGAGCCUUAGAACCCCAGAUCAGCUUGGCGUAGUUGAAGUCCAAACGGCCCUCGAAGAACGCCAGGUAGGCCGAUUUGGCCGAGAACUUGCCCGUAGUCGUCCAACUCCACCGGAAGACAUCGUCCCCAGUGCCCAAUUGAACCCGCUGAAGUCUUUCCCAGAUAGCAAGGAACUGAGCCAGACCAGCAUCGUCAAGGUCAGGGUCCACAGCAGCCACCCAUCUAUUAUUGGCACAGGCCUCGGCCACCGAGAGGUCACCGUCCCGGUGGGGCGCGAUUUUAGGCGCAAGGUCUGAGAUGCGCCAACCGUCAAUCCAUGGAGGCAGCCACUUACUCUCAGUUUUUAAACACACAUGUUGCAAUGGCUUGCUGUUUGGCGGAAUUAUAUCUAUUAAAAUGUAUUGCCCAUGUUUCCCUGGCAGUGCGGACAUUUGGGUGAAAGUCGUUAGAUGCAUCCAAUUCAAUUAGAUUUAAGUCGACGAAUCAGAACCUUUGGAUUCAUAUCUGGAUCUCAUUUUACUCUUCUUUUUUAAUCAUCUGUUUCGAAUCUUAAAGCACAAAUCAUAUCCAACUGUUGAGAAAUCAACUUAUCUCUAACUAAAAAUCACUGAAAAUCAGACAAUUUAGAUAUAGCAAAACCGAUUCAAUUAAUAUUCCUUUAGUGGUACUUUGUAUUUUCUCAUAUGGAGACCAGGUUCAGCCACAUAUUCAAUUUCCCUUGUAUGCAACAUCCCGCAGCUUGAAUGAAACUGCAUGUGGGUACUUUGUGCACGCACAUGAACUACUUCCUACUUCAAUUCUUUUUUUCUUUGAGAGGACUUCAUUCAAUUCUUUCAAAACAUCAUAUGCAAUACAUUUCAGCAACCGGAAAAAAAAGUCGUCAGUGUGUACAAUAGUUUCUGUAUGCGACAGGGCCGUAAAUCAGGCAUCACGAUCUAUACCCUGUCCAAAGCUUUUACCUUUGUUAUUGCAAUCUCCGUAACAUUCCAAAAGCAUAUGCUCGAGUCGACGACGCUGUUGAUGUAGAGAAAUGCAGAUGGCAUACGUCGAGACCAUUAAAAGAUGGGAUAUAUAUGCAUCCUUCAUCUACGGGAGAAAAACACUGGAAGAAGAAAGUUCCAAAAGGACUAACUGGUGUGUUCCUGAUCGAUCAAAUGUCAGUUCCCUCUAUCUGCCUCGAAGGAUUUAAGCCUGUGUUCAAAACAUUUGAUAUUGGGCAAAAAGAGUACUCGGCCAAAAAGAAAAACACUAAGGCCCUCUUCUUUUGAUCAGUGCAGCCGACAGCUGAAUCAGAAGAGAAGGGACAACGAGCAGUGAGGCCAGGAGAAUGAAUCCCUUUUUGGAAAAGAAAAAAAAAGAGAGAAUAGCUAGCUAGGUGUAUGCUUAUGUAAACAUUAAAGUUCACAAAACCAUACUUUUUUGAGCUAGGUUUUAGUUACCGGACAACGGUUAUGACUACUGUCUUACAAAACCAUAGUUUUGAGACAGGCCUUCUGACAAGACCCAAUUCAGGUAAUUAAAGGUGUUUGACAGUAUUUCUGACAAAAGACCCACUGUCAGGCGACACGUCAGACAGACCGGUUUACAAACGUGUUGUACAUAAUUAUGUUUUUGCUGGCAUUUUGGCUUUGACUCAACACUUCCUGGGUGGGCAGAAGCUGGCGUGAACAAGAAAACGAAUCGACACGUUCUGCCCAAAAAACUGUGGUCAUGAAAGACUAUUCGUCCGGCUUUAGGAGGUGCUUUAGCUUGUGCACUUGUGCCAACGCAGCCCCGAUUGCUGGACUUUUGGAUCGAACUGACCCCACCUGCACUCGAUUCACGUACGUUUUCUAUUCCGUUGCCCAAUGAGCUGAGACUAAUACGACGCUGAUUCAUCGGCCGCCGCACGCGCUUCCCAUAUGUCCCGCACAACGUGUGCAAGGACGCUUCUUAUUGUUGGACUGGAUUGUUCAAACUAAGCGCCCAGGAAAAGCGGACGGAGGGAGCAGUUAUAACUGUGUCCGGUGAAACCUAACCCCAAGAAGUAUGUUUUUUAUGAAAUUAACUCUUCUACUCCCUCCGUCUAACAAAAAAUGUCUUAACUUUGACCAAGUUUGAAUGCAUCUAUACACUAAGUCAUGUCUAAGUACAAUCAAAUUUUGACAAACUUGAAACAUGUUUUGUUGAACAGAGGAAGUAUAAAAGAAGUUGGCUUUAUUUACGCAGUCUACAAGAAGUGGGUGGUGAUGAUAAUCGUUCCAUGUUCAGUUGGAAUAUGGAAGGCAAAUUGGGCAGGAUGCAAUCCACCAAACUAGGGACUAGUACGCGUCGUCCUCGCGCGAGAGCCGCCGGAUCUUUUCAGUGCCCGCCAACCGUCGUCAACGCAUCAUCUUUUGCAUGCAUGGCUUUGAUCAUGCAGGCUACGAAUUUACACACCUCCAUAUAAUUUCGAGCUCUGUAGUUCUGUUUUACAAAGAACAAAGAUCUGUCACACCAUUUGGGACGGCAGCGGUGCAAAAACGCUGCACCGGCAGACCGGGCACGUCGUGUGGUCGCGCAGCCACAGGUCGACGCAGUGCUGGUGGAACAUGUGCAGGCACGACGGCAGCCGCUUAACCAUCUCCCCAUUCUCCACCUCCCCGAGGCACACAGCGCACUCCGAUGCGCCGCCAGAUCGCCCUUCGCCAUCCUGCUGCUGCUCGUACGCUGGAAUGCCUUCCACGGUGGCCUGCCGCGCGCUGCCGUGCACCGGCGGCUCUUGGGGCAGCCCGUCUGCUUGACUACUUAUCUGCACCACAAACUCUGGCAGAGCAACGGAAGCGGGGCCGCCAUCCACGAUGCUCGGGCGCCCCCACUGACACGGUAGGCAGAGCAGCCGGCCAAUCCCGCGGAGGCACCACAGGGGCGUGCCCAGAGCCUUGGCCGGCCAUCUCCCCAUGGCCGCCAACCAUUGGUAGGACAGCUCGAAGAAGGCGUGUUCUUGGCAGAUUUUUGAGCUGACCAUGAACCAGACGAGGAGGACUAUGAAGACCACGGCGACACCGGCUCGCACGCCAGUGCCGGGCUCCAACAACAGAGAAAGAACACACAAAAAUAGAUCGACGUAGAACCAGAUUGCUCCAAUCAUGGAGAUGAUGAACAUGAUACCGAAGACCAGAAUAAACAUGCAGUCGAAGCAGUCUCCCAUGGAUGCCAGUGCCGGGCAUGUCCGUAGAACGGCGCUCAGGCACCGCAGCUUGGCAAGUUCGACGUGCUCCGACGGGCACGGCAGGCAGAGCAGCCGGCCGACCCAGCGGAGGCACCACAGUGGCGCACCGAUAACCUUGGCUAGGCAUCGCCCCACGGACGACCCUUGGUACUGGUAGGGCUGUUCGAAGAAGUUGCGCUUGCAGAACACUGCGCCCAACAUGAACCAGAAAAGGAGGCAGAAGGAGACCAUGGCGACACCGACUCCCGUGCCAGGCUCCGAUAACAGAACGACGAGCAUGCAGAUGAAUGUAGUCGUGCCGACGAUGAAGAGAAAACUAAAAAAGACCAGUUCAGGCACGAAGUCCAUUGAUGCGAGUGCGCUACGAGUAUAUAUCCUCUGUGUUUUAGGCUAGCUGUCUGUCAAAUGGGUAGCAAAGCUACCAUCUACACAAACUAAUUUUGCAUAUAUAGCGCUUAGGUAUGAAGGAUGCAUAUCUUAAUGAAUGGUCUCGACUGCCGGCGCGCUACAUCCGCAGCGUGGUCGACCAUAUGCUCUUGGAAUGGUGCGGAGAGUUCCGUAAAAGAAAAAAUGGUGCGGAGAUCGCAAUAGAUUGCAAUAACAAAGUAGAAGCUUUGGAAAGGGUAUUGGUUUCCACAAGACAAUCGUCAUGUUUGAUGUACGGCCCUGUCGUGUACAGAAGCUAAUCUACACGUUGACGACCUUUUUUCCGCUUGCUAGAAUGCAAUCCCUCUGUUCCUAAAUCACUACUGGAAAAACAGAAUUUGCUUUUUUUUGUUAGGUCAACCACACGACUUUAUUAACUCGCUAAUACUUGUUUACAAUUAGUCCGUAUACUGUGUGACAGAAAACUAGGAACUGACUCUAUCCAAUCUGACGACACGCCAUGCAAGACGGCAAACCUAGCACACUCAUGGGCUGCAAACUUAGCACCACGCCUAACAAAAGACACCUGAAAACUGAUAAAACAACGACUCAACUCUUCUAUCUGCAGAGAAUAGGAGCAAUCAAUGCUCGGUGUAAACAAUGCUUGUCCCAGGGACGAACCAGAUCUUCACAAUCUCAAAGAUAACUCUCGUGAAGUUUUUCUCCCUUGCCAAGCACACUGCGUCCCGUAGAACAAGGGACUCGACGAUCAGAGGGUUAGAGAUCCCCUGAUAUAUUCGACUCCGAGCUGCCACAAAUCCAUUAGCAUCUCUCGAGCCACACAACCACUUGCUGCUCGGCCAUCAACAUCACUAAUAGCGCCAUCGGAAUUGAUCUUGAAAACUCCAGCGGGAGGGCCAUUACAAGUACACGAUGUUCUGGGCUGUUUCAUCUUAUCCCCAUCCAUCUUCUACUCUGGGAGCAAAAUCGUCUCCAUGCAGUUUCAAUCGACUUGCCCGCAUCCCUUGGCAAAGACGCACAUAUGCUGAGGGCCAAGAGAAAAGCACUCGGCAAAAUCACAGCCCACCGUAGAGUGGGCGAGAGGCACUUGGCAAAGUGCUGGCCGAGACAAAUUAACAAGGGCCAGGUCACUUUGCAAAAUAAUAAAAAUACAGUCGGCAAAGAGCAGUCCACGCCAAAGUUGGUGUUCACGUGUCCCGGCCCGUCGUGGUUGAUGGAUGGAGAGAAAGCACAUUCAUCAUUGUCAAGCGUCUCCUGAAAGACACCCGGCAAAGACUCUUUGUUAUUUUUUCUAUUUCUCUCUUGGUUCAAAAUAGGAUGUCAACCAUAUAUUUUUUAGUUUAAAUUUUCAUUUAGCAUUAAUGGUGAUUAACUUGAACUAAAAUCACCACGUUUUUGUAAAAAUGAUUAUUUAUCAUUUUAGAAUUGUCUAAUAUGAAUAAUUAAAUACUCCCUCCGUCCCACAAUUCUUGUCUCAAAUUUGCCCUAAAAUGGAUGUAUCUAUUCCUAAAAGGCGUCUAGAUACAUGUAAUAUUCUGACAAGAAUUAUGGAAUGGAGCGAGUAAUACUUAAAGAUUGUCAAAAAAAAUUGCCGGCAUGGUUCCUUGUUAUGGAUAUAUAAGUGUUUCCAUAAAUAUGACAAGUUAAUGCACAAAUUUAUAUGCUUCACAAAAUGCACUAUUUAGAAGAAGUUUCCAAAUUUAGGAUUUAAACCUCCAAACUUAAAGUCUGAACUAAUUAAGUUUUGCAAUAAUUCGAUCACUAUUGAGUUGAAUUUUUUUUACUGGAGUUUCAUUUAGCAUUAAUGAUGAGUAAUGUGAAAUCGCCACUUUUAUUUACCAUUAUCUAGAGUUCUUUAAUGGGAAAAAAUAAUAAUACAUAAAAUCGCCACUUUUAUUUACCAUAUUAUGGCUAUAUAAUAUUAGGGUAAAUAGGACAAGUCAAUAAACAAAUUUAAAUAUGAUACUAUCUUGCCAAGCAAAUACACGCAAAAAUUUAAAAGAAAAGAAGAAACGUUUGCCUUACCAAGUCUAUCGAGGAUCCCAACACUCGGCGAAAACGAAGAGCGGCAAUCGACAAAGCUUCGCUAGUGCCGCAUCUAGGUCGUCCACGAGUAUCCACGACCGACGUCGAUCCAUGCAUCACGUCACCUCACCGAUCCGGGCGACAUCACGAUGGAUCGACCCCCCAUCCCAUCCUCCUCCUCAGGAAAAUAAUUUUUUGCUAUAUCAACAGCUUCAAUGUCAGAUGAAUAUUAUUACAUGCAUCGUAAAAUAUAUUUUCGUAGUUCCUGCUUUUACACUGUAUACGUUAACAAUUUUUUUGCAGGCAAUCAACGGGAUGGGAAGGGGGGGGGGGGGGAUUCCCCACCACUAUAUUAUUACUUCAAAGAACCAGAGUAUUACAAUAGGGGGGGGGGGGGGGCAUAGACACGCCACAAGCGGAUGACUACCUUUUUUAAUUGCAUUUCAAUCCAAAGUUCAUAGAAACUACCUAGUGACUACCACCGAAGAAGCGAUCUCCGACAUGCACGAGAGGAGUGCCUUCGACGUCCUCGAAGGGCAAACCAUUGCCGAGUCAGUAUCAGUUACACAAUCUCCACCCGCUUGGUCGGUGGCUGAGUGGAUCCGAGCACCAACAAGUCUACGAGUGUUGUUACCCAGUGUAUCUAGUCGAAGGGCGUCACAUAGGAAGAAGAUGGAAGCCAGCAUAGCUAAGCAAAAUCGACUAGGGAUGUCUCCCCAUUCCAUAAACAUAACCUCAACAAUGGACCAAGAGUAAAGAAGCAACACCUUCGAAAAGGAAAAAAUGAUGCCUUCCAAAAAAGAAAGAAGGAAAAGAUGCAAUAACGCCUUCCAAAAAAAAAGAGAAGGAAAAGAUGCAAUAACGCCUUCCAAAAAAAAAAGAAGGAAAAGAUGCAAUAACGCCUCCACCGUCGAUCCGUGACACCGGAUCUGGGGUUUCCCCCAAACUCAUGGAUGCUCUGAUGGAAUCCAAAACAGACGGCCUCCAAGGAGUUGAACGGCACCCUCAAGAGUCACCGCGUCAUAGGCACAGAAGCCCCAGAUUUCUCCGCUAAUUCCAAGAACCGAGCACAUACUUCGUCGUAUUGGAGCAAAGGAAGCGCAUCAUAGCAUGGCAGCCCAGAAAAAUGGCCAGAUCCGACGGCCCAGACUAGAAGCGGCGCACGAACACCAGCCCACAACGACAGUUGCCCAGCUUGGAUCUGAGGUGCAGACCAGUGCCCCGCCUCCCCCACCAGACAGAGGCACGCUUGAAGCUGGAUUUGGAUGAGAAGGGGCAGGCGACCUUCCUGUCCCUGGCUGUCACCGGAUCAGGACGCCUCAGAGCGACGGAAGGCCCGCAGACUGUAGUCCAUCGCGGGGAGAUGACGACAACCUCGCCUUGGGAGGCGGCGGCCAGGGGCGGAGCCGGGGGGGAGCGAGCAGGGGUCAGAUUGUUACACCCUAGCCUGUUCCGGUGGGAGUUGUUGCCGGAGACAAGCUAGACGGCGGCGCCGCCAGACUAAGAUAUCGGGAGAGAGCGUUGUUUCAUUUCUUUUCAUCGAUAACGUUCUCAGGUUAGCAAGCUACCUCUUAGUAGUCAAAGCCCAACAGCCUCCUCAGGCCCAAACGCUAAGUUACAUACUUAAAGAAACUGGACAGGCCAAGCAAAACUGAAGACAAUUAAACUGUACUUGUUGCAUCAGACGGAGGCUCGUCAGAUGUAACAUUGUCCCACCCACCCCUCCCCCCUUGAGAACCAGCUGGUCUCCAGGCUGGGGCAUCCAGGGAAACUGGACUUGAGCACCUCGUAGUCCUCCCAUGUUGAAGAAGUAGCUGGAAGAGUAGUCCACUUGAUUCUGACUUGAAGAUAGGCCUUGUUCCCUUUUUGAUCAGACGGCGUUCGAGAAUUGCUUCAGGAACCAGCUCAGCAGCGUCCAACACAAUUGGGUUUGGUAGUUCAUUUGACUCUGCUGUAUACUUCGGAAUGAAUGGUUUCAAUUGCGAAAUGUGGAAAACUGGAUGCACCAUGCUAGAAAGUGGCAACUUGAGUCGGUAUGCCACUGAUCCAACUCGCGCCUCCACUUCGAAAGGCCCAUAGAACUUAUAUGAAAGUUUAGGACAGGGACGACUCACCACUGAGGAUUGUGUAUAUGGUUGCAGUUUAAGAAGAACCUUGUCACCCACUUGAAAAGAUCGGUCAGUACGAUGACGAUCUGCCAUAUUCUUCAUGCGAAGACGAGCUCGCUCCAGGUGGUUCUGCAAGAAAACCGAGUGCUGGUGACGCUCCUGGAGCAUAUCUUGUACACUGUGAUCUUGAAUCGAUGUCAGAUCAGGCAUGAUGCCGUACGAUGCAUCGUAACCAUAAAUCCACCCUCCAAAAACCACACCUUUGACAGCAGCCCCCUACACAGCAAAGGAAUUAACCCCAACAAUCAUACCGUAGGAACUAUAGCCUCGAUAUCUCCACUCCGUUAGCCGAAGCAGCAAGAGCCAUCAGCAUAGGAACUCUUCCAUAUGCUGCCAUUUGCUCAUAACUAAAACCACAUAUCACAAAACCAUAUUUUUCUGAAAAUGAACUAUAGCCUAGAACAAAGUCUACUCCCUAAGCAAAAAUAUACAAAAAAAAAAUCCUCUCAACACUGCAAAUCCUAGCAGUCGAUAGGCCAGAUUAUACAUCAGUCAAAUUCCAUGCUCAUCAAUUUCAGACAGGUAUGGCACACGCGACACAUGACAACUACAGUAACCACCAUCAACAUAAAUAUAUAAAUAGAGAACUUGGAUUUAAUAACAAAGAAAAAGAUUUAACAACUACAGUAUCCGGCCACGCCCCUUGCCUUCUGGUGCUCCUUCCUCUACAUGACCAUGCCCGUGCAACAUGGAAGGUACUCUUCAUUGAAUGACAUAGAUUUCAUAUAAGCUAUAGAUAUGCUCAAAGAAUGAGACAAUCUGAAACUAAACGGUGGCUACAUAUGACCUUAAUAAGAACAAAGGUACAAUUUAAUCUACGAUGCUUCAUUUUGGGUAAACUAUGUUCUCUCACUUCCGUCAAAUUCUGCUGUGAACUAAGCAUGAUAUAGGAGGAUUUUUUACCACAACAAUAAAAAUCUAGAUAAAUCAAAAGAAAACUGAUCAAUACAAACCUUCUUUGGAAAGUGAAAAUCGAAGUUGCAGAGAGAAUGUGCUUGCAUAAACCAUCAGAUUUUUUUUACCAAAAAAUAGAACUGAUUGAAAUCGUAGAAGCAGAUAACCUGGAUAUUUAUUAAAAUAUGACAUGGUCAGGUGGCAGCUCACCUUCUCGUGCCUAAUCUCUUUAAACUGGAUCCACACACUUGCCUCAAACUUGACCCAUGGCUCACAUUCUCAGUGUCGUGAACCAGUAGAAGAAUGUUAGACAUGCCAACCUAAGUCAGUAAUAAAAAUAGCACAUUAUAUUGAAUUACUUUUCACAUCACAUAACCAGGUAAAGAUCAGUAGAGAGAUAGGGACAAAAAAGCAACAAUGUAAUCAACAAUCACAUAUCAUGUUUUGCUUUCCAAUUAUUCAACUUCCAAAAAGCUAGAUAAAAAGUAGCAUUGCAUCUUUUCUUAUCAACAUGAAUAGCAGGUACAAGCUCUAUUUUGGCAUUGGCAUUGGCAUUGCAAAUAGCAGAAAAUGCAAGAUUUUAAUUUUUUUCCUAAGGUCAGCAUUACAGGAUCAAUCACUAUCUGUUGUUGCAUGUAGUUCAAAAUAAGACAUUAGAAUUUCCUCGAUGUUACAGUACAUAGUAACUAAAAGCUUUUGCAUUGAAUUCAAUUAAUUAUUUUACUCUUCUUUUGAUUGGCUUUCUAAGAUUCAAGGAGACAUAUGCUUGUUCUGUUGUUGGCUUAUUACUCAUUACAAUUGGUUCUAGAUAUUUAUUCUGGUUCUCACAGUUCAAUAAAGAAUAUUGUUCAGAUUCACUGAUCUGUGCCUUGUAACUGGCCCUCACUACAUGAUCAUAAUGUAGGCUUGUAGGAGCAGUAUUUCCUUUCAACCUCCUCAUUAGAAGCGUUCCGAUAUUAUCCACUUUAAAGAAUCAAACCAAAGAGAGAAAAUGAUUAUUUACUAUAAAGAAUCAAAUCAACAGAGGGCAGUUAAAUAGUCUGACUACAUGCAUGGAAGAUCGAUCUAAAACAAAAUAACUAAAAUGAGCAGAGCACGCACCGAUCAUAUUACCACAAAUUAAUUAAACCUUUUUGAACCCGCCUUCCUGCACACGCCGACAUUGAUGGACUGGUCAUCAAGCGGUCCUUCCCCUUCUUUGGCGAAGACACCAGUCUACAGCAAUUCCUCCUCGGAUACGGCAAUGUCAAUAGCGAAUCGAACUUGUAAAUUAACAACAGAAUGAGAUACUACCGAGUUUCAAGAAAGGAAGAUGGAAGGAGUAGGAUGCAGUUGUGCAGGUGGGGAACGGGGCUGUGUGAAAGUAUAAUAAAACAAAUUUAUAGACUCUACUUUUUUUGACAAAUGAGUAUGCACAAUCAAGGAGUAACAUACAUGACAGAGAGAUUAUUUGUCCAUCAUCGCAUGAGUAUGGCUUUCCUAUGUUACAUUAGAGGGACAUGGUGAAAUCUAACAUGAAGUGUUACCUGACAUGUAGCAUCCAAGGUUCCAAUAGAUAGAUUUCAUUAAAAAUCCUGAACUGUAGCAUCAAAGUUUCAGUAGAUAGAUUUCAACUUACCUGACAUUACUAAGUUCAUCAUUGAUACUUCAAUUACCACAUUAAGUUCUUCCAAUGAAUAUGGAUGCUCCGGGUCCUUUACAUCUCUAAUCUGAUGUAAGAUUGUAAAUGAGUACAAAAUUAUUAUGCUAGCAGGACCCCGGAUUAAUAACAUAUACCAUGAAAGCAAGCUACACCUACAUACAUGCAGAAAAACCAAGAAAGAGGAUAUAAAAUAUUUCUAGCUGGUCUAUAGGCUCUGCUGCAUUUUCAUAUGUAUUUUCUAGUGGCAGCCAAAUGCGCCUCUCUUUUUUUCUCAUGAACCACAGGGUUAGCAUUUGACAAUUCCAUGACCAUUUUCCUCUGCAAGACAACUAAUUUGGAUAGGACGGACAAAAUCCUGCAGGUUAAAAGCACAAGAAUUGUCAAAUGGUAAUUCCUGGUUGCAAAUUGUGUCAAGUGGAAACUUACACUGUUUCUGCAGGUUCCAAAAUUUGAAUAAGACUGACAGACUGAUAAAAGCUAACGUUAUCUUAGGCUUUCUAUAUCUUUCCCCACUUUUUGACAGUGAAUUUGUUAACUUAUCCUAGAUACAGGUUACAGCAAGAUAAUAUUUUGUGCCCUCAAACAAGUACACGAAAAUACUCAGCCCUUGCUCCCUCCUUCAGGAGCUUCCAUACCCUGUCCAGACGAACACUGUGUUCCCUCUGUUUCUCUCUUACAUCUCUUACUCUCCAGUAAAAAUAUUAUUUGAUUUUUCGACACAAAGAUUGUUCAUUCUGAACAAAAUAGAUUGGCCCUUCCACUUUAAACCUAGUAUUGGAUUCUUCACAAUACAACAAUAAUUUACCUGGCAUGUAGAUUCUGGCAAUACAACAUUAUAAGAAUUCACAAUCGAAAUACUUCAUACAAUCUCCCUCUCCUCCAUUCCACUCAACCAAAACAUCUAAAGAACCUAAGGUUCAAUAAAUUUUCGCUUGUCAGAUCUAAGUUCCCACAAAGAGAAUCGACCCCCCUCUACUAAAACAGAUUUCCAUCUACAGAACUCAUAGUUCAAGAAAUUUCUCACAAAUCAAAUCUAAGGUUCCCAAAGAGAAAAACAGGGGGAUAGGGAGUGGAGAGAGGAUACCCUUACCUGAAUCGCUUGCCGUCGCCUGGAUGUCAGAGGUCGUUACCGGCCGGAUUCCUUGGUGCGGCAGUGCCUGCGUCAUCCAACAGAGAUGCAGGGGUGUUGAGCGAAAAUCAAGGAGGGAAGUGCCUAGCGAAUGGAACAGAGAGGUGAGGCGAGGUUCAAGGGCGAGUCAACGUUGAAAUCCCGCGAAGGACGGCGGCGGGGAUCAGCGCCGAGGCUCGUCUCCUUCCCACCGCCGCACGCCUCAUCUCCUUCCAACGGUCGUCGUGACUCACAAGCCUCCCAUCAAGCUGGAGGCAGAAAUAUCUCCGCGCUCUACGCGGCCGGCCAGGGGCUGGAGCCUCGAGCACCGACAUCGUGGAGGAAGAUCUGCAGGGCCAGGGGACGGCGGCGGUUGAGGAUCCGGACAGCAGGUGCUGGGCGAGGACGACGGCCGGGAGCAGAGCAAGGCCGAGGGUGCCAGAAGCCCAGAACACACCCGAACACACCCCCGAACCGAUCACUUUCACACGGGUGAUUUCUUCGCCCUUUCACAGGGGUAAAGAUAUGCUUCCAUGUAUCUGCGGUAAGAUUUAUGUGCCUUUGACGAUCGGAUUUCAUGUAUACUAGCUUUGUACGCUGCGCCGUCGAUCACUUGAUCACCUUGUUGCCAUAUUUUUGCUUCUUCAUGGAUCACCUACGAUUCGUAGUUCUAGAUACAGCUUUGCCGCGCCGCUAAUCGAUGCUUUUCUAUUUGAGCUACACCACUUGGUAGGUCUUUUCGUUUUGUCUUUUUUUUGUUCAGGUGGUAGUAGAAGAAGCAAGUCAUUAAACAUCAAUUCAUUUAUGGAUUUUGUCUAACUAUAAGCAGGUUCAUCAAGGUCUCAUGUCCCAGAUGAAAACAUUGUAUGUCACAUAAUGUAUGAUAGGUAGAAUGGAAAAUAAACUUUAUUAGGCCGAAUACAACCACUUGGAUAACACUGUAAAAAAAAUGCGAAAUACAAACCUAGUCUGACUCCUGACACUUUUCAAAAUACCAUGCUGGACACUAACACCUUGGUAUGUUUUCUACUAAAAAAAUGAAGUAAAAUCUGAUGUGGUUGCAUUGCACAACUGCAUCGCUGGGAAGAUCUAACAAAUUACCUAGAAAUAAAAUAGCCACCUCAAGUGAUUUUGCAUACAGAUCCUAAUGACUUGUACAACAACAAUGUAACUCUUCUUUCUUGGGAGAACACAACAGUGGAGCUGAAUUCUUUUACCCCCAUGACACAACACAAACUCAUGACAUAUGGUUUCAUGAACCAAUAUGAACCCUCAGGGAGUAGCUUGCAUGUUCUUCCCUUACUACUCCAUGCCCACGGGGUACAACUCCCUCUGCAUUUGUGUACUGCAACAACACCCACAUGCAAGAAUACAUGAAUGCAAAUACAAUAAUGUUUAAAUUCAAUAGAUACAAGAGAACGAAUCGAUAAGAAAAUUGGUUUGCUUCUUAAUAAAAGAAGAGAUAUUUAAUUCUGAUCUAACCCGCAAGAUCAAGAUACACCAUGAACAUAUAUCAGGAUUGAAAUUGCGCAGAAAUUGACCCCGUGCCAUGUUGCCAUGAUUCUAGUCAUGAACCUGGACAUCAUGCAUGUGAUAGAUCUUAUCAGGGACAUAAAAACCUAUUUGUUCCUUAGAGAAAGGACGAAAACAAAAUUAGUAGUGAGCCACAAGUGUGUGAAUUCAAAACUAAAUGAUGAUGGAUUUGUCAACAAACCUACAAUCUCUCGGUUCACAUAAAUAUGUAUUUUCCUUCUAUAUAUUUUUAAAAGAAGACAUUUAUUGACGCACACAGCCUAAUAUAAUUCAUUAAAUUUCUUAGUAAAGAGUUGUUUUAUAGGUGAAUGAUAUCAUUGUGUACAAGUGUAUUAAUCAAAGUAGCCGCAUACAUCGCUAGCACUCUGAGUUUUACAAUGAGCAGAUUUAACCAAGAGGGUAACAAAGAUGUGCUUGCUCUUCCUCCCCAGGAAGUUUCAGGCGCUCCAUGCCGACGGUUUCUGUAGCAUCAAACUUUUGUCACAAUGGAGGUAUAUAUCAAUGAAAUAUUAAUAGUUUGGAUUUUAAAAGAAAAGAAGACAGUAAUAAUAGCAUAUAUCAUUUUUCCUGGAAAUAAUAGUACGGAGUAACAAUUUAUAACAAAUACUACCUCCGAUUUUAAAUUGUUGUUAAAAUAUUACGUGUAUCUAGAUGCUUUUUAAGAAUAGACACAUCCAUGUUUGAGCAAAUUUAAGUUAAGAAUUUAGCAUCAGUAGCAGACAAAACCACUUGCAUGUAGGCAAGCACAAAGAAUUCUCAAUUCCUAGCAUGUUGCUUCAUCUCCUAGCGCAUCUCAAAAUUAAUAUAGCAUCCGGCGCUAAUCAAGGAAGAAGUAACAAAUAACAAGACAGCUUAUAAACUCUCAGGUCAAUGGAUAUCAACCAAUACUGUCAACUAAUACUAAUUAUCUCAUUGCUUGCUUCUACUUGUUAGAUUACCCUAACACGAAUUAAAUGACAAAAGUAUUCACUCCCACGAGCAAUUGGGUUCUGGAAAUAAAAAGCUUGCUGUGCACAUAACAUUGAGGUGACAGUAUACAUAGUUGCAGAAUGAGCACUUGUACAGGAAAAAAAAUCAAUCUCAAGGGGAGAUGUAACAGCAGCUAUCACUUCGGAGAGUGUGUCCUGGCUUCCAUUGCGAUCCAGCCAGUUUAAAAUGGCAACAUAAUGAAUAUUUUGGUGUAAACUGCUGCAAGGUAAAAAGGAUAUAAGAAUCCAACAUCAACCUCUUGAACCAGCAAAGCGGAAAUAUCUAGUUACCUCUUUUGAUGGAACUUAUGGAACUUAUAAGACUUUUCUGUCAAAGAAAUAGAGCUUCUCACAGGCUGGCAAAUAUACAAAAGUAAAUAACCAAUCAACAUUAUUUAAAUUUAAAUUAACUUCAAAACGUAGAGAUAUUGGCUACAAGCCUACAACAUGAUUGCUCAAUUAAGAUCCAACGAUGGGAAUAUUGAAGGGCAUGCGGCCGAGAGAAGAGAAACAGAGUACUGUGCAACAAGGCCUGAAAAGAAAUAGAUGAAAGAUAAACCUGAAGAGAAACCUGUCAGCUAAGGGGAAUUCCCCACUCCAACAGGCAAAACAAUGCCGUGCAUGCAGCAAAAAAGAACAAAAAAUCAAAACUCAGCAACACGUCCGGCAGAACUCCAGGACUGAAGAUCGUCUAAAAACAACAGAAACUCAAAACUCAGCAACACAGCCGGCAGAUCUCCAGGACUGAAGAUCAUAGAGGAUCAACUCAAACACCAUGUCAACAAUAUUAAUUAACCUCCUGCUGAAAGAUGUGGGCGUUCCUUUCCUUCCAAAUUCUCCAGUGGUAAAGGUAUCAAAAUCAGUGCGAAGAUGCUUCGGGGCUCUUUUCCUUGCCACAGCCCAUAGUCCAACGAUGGGAAUUUCAAGAAGACAAAAUCUAGCAUCCAGAAUCAUGAAUCAAAAAAAUUAGAGUCUAAAAUACCAUGGGUGGAGUCUGCAGCUUGCCGUUGCAGGAACUUGGGGAGGGGUACCAGCGCGUGAAUUGUGGUAUUCCUAUUACGCCCUGCUCGUCGGGUUGCAGCGGACACGAUGGCUGGGAAAGCGAGGAGGCGGAAGUGGGUGCCGUUUAUAGGAGGGUGAACACCGUGACGGCGGAUUCAUACAAAGAGAAUGGGGGAGCAGAUUGAGUACGUGGUGGCGCAACUAAAAUUAGCAAAUAAAGGUGCAAAAGUCCUGGGAUGCAAUUCAAGUAGGGGACAUCUGCAAAUGCGUCUGGUUAUAUGUCAGAUUGCGCAAAAUCAAUUGACCAUGUUGUGACCAAACAUCUCUAGAAACAAGCAUACAUAGCCGGGCAAAAAAAGAAGUGUACCUGUUCAUUUUUUUUCCUUACGACCUCUUGAGUCCGGGUUCCACUAUAAGAAAGAUAAUGGAACAAAACAGAAAGGUUCACCCACACACAGAGUUCGCACACACUUUCUGCCCACGGCUAGCAAGAACGCACCCGAGUUGUCAAGCAACAAAUGAAAGUAAAGGAAGUACCACUGUCGUCUAUUACAGACGAACAAGGUCGUCAACAAAAGCUCACAGAGCUAGAAAGUUUGAAACUGACAAGUUCAAGCCCCCCCCCCCCCCCCCUCUUUUUCAUAGCACCUGGUUCCUGGAUCAGUUCGCCUCCUCACCAUCAUCCAUGAUACUUGUUAAUCUCUUCCUGUCAACCGCAACUUGCCCAGGGUGUUGUCGCAGCGCUUCUUCCUGCAAGAUCCUAGCUCCUUCACGCAAGGCAUCUCCAUCACCACCAGUCUGAAGGACUGCCCAAUAUUUCAGAAACGCACAGGCAUAGCAUAUCAAUUCCGCGGGAGAUCAAAUCAGUCGGUGCUCAAAACAAGCUCUGUUUCGUAAUUUCCAUAUUGCCCAACAAAUCCCUGCCAACCCAACUAUAUGUAGAUUACAACUGAGUCUUAAAUGACUCGAGAUCCAAUGUAAGUAUUGUGAAAAGGAAGAUGGUCUAGUGCCAGCCCCAAUAGCAACACCCACAAUCCCCCAGGUGUAUUUAGCCGCGUCACAAGUAAAGAAAAGGUGAUGAAUUGUUUCAUUGUUUGGACAAAAACGAUAGGUGAUAUCGCCAUGUCAUUUCCUACGAAACAUAUUAUCUUUGGUCGCAAUGGCAUUAUGCCAAAUCAGCCAUAAAUGAUGGAAGGACCUGACAGAGCCCUGAUUAGCCAGAAGAUUAUACAUGGAUUUGACAUUGUAUUUACCAUUCUUAGACCAUAUCCAAACAGGUCUAUCCUCUUCCCCAUUCACCCCCAUGCACAUUAGUUUGGAAUUCAGUCUGGUGUAAUCAUAUUGACAGCUCUAAUCAAGCCACCUCCUGAAAGUGAGGCGCCAACGUCUAGCAACUAUAUCAGCCACAGAACAUCCAAUAGCAUCUGAUGUACUAAAGAGACUGAGGAAUUGGUCUUUCAGUGGAGUAUGACCACACCAGGAAUCACCCCAGAAGUCAGUUCUUCUCCCAUUGCCUACUAUCAUCACCCUCCCCUUCAGAUAUAGUUCUCUAAUAUGAAGCAGAUCCUUCCCACCAGGAGAAUCAGAUUGUUUCCCUUUGAUAUUGUGAAUAGAUUGGCAUAUACCAGAUUCAGCCUCUAGCUUCCACCACCAUUUAUAGAGUAGGCUAAUAUUAAAUAGCUCCAGAUUCUUCACUCCCAAACCACCCCUAAUUUUAGGUUUGCAGAUCAAUUGCCACUUGACUAAGUGGUACUUCCUUUUGAGACUACCCCCCUGCCACACGAACUUUCUCCUGAUCUUAUCAAGUUUCUCUAGAUUGGUUUUAGGGACCCUGUGCAUAGAAAGGUGGUACACUGGUGUUGCAGACAGGCAAGCAUUCAGCAGAGUAACUCUCCCCUCAAUUGAUAGAGCCCCCCCUUUCCAGCCAGCCAACUUCUUCUCCAUUUUUUCUUCCAGAAUAGACCAAUGUACCUGUUCAUUGCAGAUUCAGGUGGGCCUCUAGCUUCCCAUGCCAAAAAAAUUGGACAACAUAACAAGAUCCAUCUAACCGUCAUACAUGUACAGCCCCUGCAUGCCAAAUAAAAACAACACUAGGCUAGCUGAGUGACAAAAUCCAUGGAAUGAACUCAAAAUGCCUUGAUCUUUAGAUACGAACCAAAGUACAGGUUUACAAUUCCAGUCAAAGGCAAAUGCAAUGGCAUUUCAUUUGACAUCCGAUUGCGCAUAGUGGACUAAGUGCAAUUGAGAAAAAAGAUCAGAACCUGAACAGGUGGAAUUUGUACAUAGAGUUGAAGAUAUGAUUCACAAAAUGCAGUUAGCGGCCAAUAAAACUACUGGAGAGCAAUUCCGGUAUCAGAAACAAAAUUGGCAAAAAGGUGUGAUGCAAUUCAAGAAGGAGGCAGCUGCAACUGCACUCUGAUCACAAAAUAAACUACAUGCAAUUGACCUUGUUGUGACCAAAAAGCAAAGUCAAAAAAUUAAGGGACAAAAAAGGUGUGAUGCAAUUCAACAAGGAGACAGUUACAAUUGCACUCUGAUUACAUACCAGAUCGCGCAAAUGUAACUACAUGAAAUUGACCUUGUUGUAACCAAUAAACAGUCAAAAAUUAGGGGACAAAAAGGUGUGAUGCAAUUCAAGAAGGAGGCAGCUGCAAUUUCAUCUGAUUACAUACCAGAUUGCGCAAAUGGAACUACAUGCAAUUCAAGAAGGAAAAAGCUCAUAUGAAAAUCCAGAAUCAAAUCAUACUAGUUGAGAAAUUACUCUUCUGCAAUUUCUCACAAAUGCAAUUGCAACUCCUAUGAAACCCGAUUGUGCAUUGUAAGCUACAUGCAAUUGAGAUGCAUAUACAAACGGGGCCAGAUUUUGGUUCAUUUUGCCUAUGAUCCACGGUAGAGUAAGUAACAAAGUUGGGACAAAAAGAGACAGAUUCAGCAUCUGGGCGUAGAGCUGGACAAAAAUCAGAAUCGACACAUACGCCUUCACAAUUACUCGUGUGCAAUCACAAUAAGGAAUAAAUGGCCUGGUUUUGUUAGAAAAUAUUAAUGUAGCCCAAUACUGCAGUGGACAUGCCCGUUAGCCCAUUUAAUAACUUGGCUCUGUAUUAUGGAACCCAAGAAAAAAAAAAGAUCAAGGAGAAGAAAGACACAACGCCUCGAGACAAGGCAGCUCACAAAAACUAGAGAAGAAACACAAGAGAAGAAGGAAGAAACUCAGGGGGACUGACGGCCGAUCAAGGCAUAUGGAUAGUAACCUCAACAUGCAGACGCCAAGGUAUUUGUCCUUGCUCCCUCCCCUGUUCUUACCCCCAUACAUCGUUGCAGCAAAAUAAGGGAAAACAAAGGUUGAUCAGAUCAAUUGUAUAUAUCAAACGCGUCAUCGUUGUCAUUGCUAGGAUUGUUGCUGACGUCAAUUGACCAAUCAAUUGAAGUGAUACUAGAUGAUGCCCCACACGUUGUUGCGGAAAUUUUUAGUUAACAUAAAGAGUAUUCAAAAUUGAAAACAUAUAAUAAAAUUGUGCAUUCUUCACUUAGUUGGAAUAGCUUGAUGCAAGUAACAUGCAUGCAUGUGCAAAAGUAUGAGUUUUCCAGUAAAUAGGUGUGAACAAAUUAAUCAUGUGAUGAUGUGGCAUGCUUCAAUGUUUAGAGAAAUCAAAUAGUGAGUUGCUUCUACUUAGAUAUAGAAGAUUAUGAGAACAACGAUACCGAUUCUUGCCAAUACAUAACAAAGCGUAUUUGGGGGCAGUGUACAGCUUCCAUAUGAGGUAACAUGCCCCCGACACCCAAACCCCACCUCAUAACCAACUUAUGUUUGGUCUGAUACUCUGAUUACUGCACAUCUACAGAACAGCAGCACAGAAAAGUUAACUGAACAUGAAACAUCAAAAAUUGAUCUAUGCUAAUUCUGUUAAUUAUCUUCAGGCUGUAAGCAAAAUCUCUGCUUGUUCCUGGAAUAUCUACAAUUUUUGCUUAUGCAGAGUAUCUAUUACUCAAAUGGGAUUGUUCCAUGUUAGCACUGGCAUCCAUUAAAACCACUUGAGCUGUGUUGUAAGCAAAAUUCAAAACAUAUUUAAUAAACAAUCUAUAUGACAAAAAACAUUGAAUACAAAACAAACUAUGAUAUUUCAAGGAACAAAUUGACACUUACUGACAAGGUUCUCUGCUUACCUAAAGAGCUAGAACCACCAAUUAACAUUCAAAUGAAGCAUAUAAAUGACCGAAUGAGAUCAAAAAUCACCAACAAUUUUAGUCAAAAUAACAUGUCAUAUCCUUUAUCGCAUUUUGCCAUUGCAAGUCAAAGGACAGAUCCACAUCAUAUAAUCUAACAUCAAAGAAUCUGCAUGAACAGCAAGCAGGCCUUGGAAUGCAACACUUCCUAGGUAGAGCUCAAAAUAGAGCAAAAUCAACGAAGGACUCACCGGAAGAGGAGCAGCAGACUCCACCGUCGACGAGAUGAGAAGGAAAACGCGCGCCUCUGCUGCCUUCGCCUCGCCAAAUCCACCCCAAACGAAAAAACAGAGAAAAAUCAAAGGAAAAAAUGUGAGAUUAAGCAAGCUGAAACAGUCAUUUCGCUCGGAAAAACUCACCAUGCGGAUCGACCAAGCUCGCCGACGACGAACAUAUGUCAAAAUCGCCUCACAUCUCCCUGUGUUCACCUCAUGAAGCAAAAAAAGUGAGAGGGGAAAACACGAGCAAAUGGACCACGGCAACCACUUGAGAACACCAGAACGGAAAGGGGGUCUCACCGGAUGGGGCGCGCCACCCACGAGCAAAGACUCCGCCGCCGACGAAGACUCCGCCACCCAAGAGCUCAGAAUGGCCUCUCCGCUUCACCCUCUCCAGAAUACUUGAGGUCACACAACCCAGGAAGAAGACAACCGGGGUGGGAGCAAAAAAGAAAAAAAGCAGCCCACCAAACAGUCACGGAUCUUGAUGCAUGCAUCAACGGCUUACAAAAUCGACUGGUUUUCUCAAAAAAAAAAACAGCCACCUCGUGUAUUGCAAAACAGAUUUUUUUUAAUUCAUUUCACAAUUCACACUGCAUUCUGCAUCUAGAGAGCCCACCUCGGGCAUCUGGGUUUCAAUCCACGACUCCUUUGGUAACCAUCAUUUGGAUAUAGAAUUGUAGAAUUCAUUUUGAAUUUAGAAAACAACUUGUUUGGUUGGCACGAAAUUAGCCAAAGGAAUUCAAUCUCAAAUUUCAUGGAACCACAUUAUAACU